rnacentral:lncRNA from 1 species
UCAAAUUAAUCAGUUCAAGACUAAAACUUACUUGCUUGAAGAUUAAUUUAACACUUGGGGUUUGAUAUAUUUUCAAUUGUAGCUUCUGUUAAAAGUUAGGGUUUGAGAACACCUCAAGGGUGGUCGGUUAAUUAUCAUUCAGGCACGGAGGGCACUAUAUUGUGUUCUCUUUAUUUGUAAUCCAAAAGGCGAAGUAAAAUCAUAAAUCGAAAGAAAAUUUAUUUUACCAAGUAUAUAACACUAAUGUGGAGGGAAGAAAAAAAGGUUACAUAUUUUCACUUUUAAUUCAAUUUAACCACUAUAGUUUAAACAUGGGCAUAUGAUUAUAUCCUGACAAAAGUCCAACACAAGCCACUCAAAACUGAAAUUUGAUUAGACAUGCCCCAACCCAGGCCUCACAUCACUUGUCUUAUUUUACAAUAUCUAAAGAGAAUUCUUUCCACCCAAACCCAACUUAUUUUUCAUGUUCCAUUAAAAACCCAACACCACUCUGAUUAAAAUUCCAUUUUACCUACUUCUAAUUAUUAGUAGGCAUUUCAUUGAAGGAGCCCACCCCAUCACCCCAACACAAACUUAUCAAUACUUGGUCAUUUUCAUGUCGACUAUAUGAUGCUUUUGACAGCAAGCAAUGUCUCGUUUGUAUACUUAUAAUCCCUUUCCUUAUAAAAAGUAGACUAAAACCGCAAAAAAGUUUCAAGUGUCUCACUUUGAGAGCCAUAAGAAAUGAACCGCACAAAAUUAAUCACAGCCAUGGCAAUAUGGCAUGUUGGAAUGGAUAAGCUUAAGCCCCACUGCAUGUGAUGGCUUUAAAUGAGGGCACUUUGAUUUCCCAUCUUGGUGAUUUGGAUGAUGAAGACAUAGCCCCAUGCUCAGCUUGAAUUUGAUCAUGCAUAAUUCAUGCACCAUGUGACCUCUCCACAUCACUUCUUGCUCAUAUAUAGCUAGGUUCACUUCUAUCUUGAUUCCUUGAUCUAAACAUACAAAAGAUUUGCAGUAAUAAAUAAAACUAUUUUAAGAUACAAACCACUUUAAUAAGUCAAAUUUGAUUGGAUAAUGAAGGACUCGAUCGCUUGAUAACACUUUCGUUUUUCCCGUUCAAUGUGUCAUUUUUAAAGAAAGAGAUAUAUAAAAGAACAUAGAAAAUGAUAUAAAAAGGAUGGGAGAAUAACGGAAGCAUGAAAAGAAGAUGGAGGAAUGAGGGUUAAAAGAACAAUAACUCAAUAAACAAGAAAGAGAAAUAUUUUAGUUUUCGUUCUAUGUACUAUUUCACGUAGAUAUUCUUCUUCUCAUAUAUAUUAUUUUAUUUUCACUAUCUUUUCAAAAAAAUAAAAGAAUCAUGUUAGGGAGACCAAUUUUAGAUACCAACUUGUGUAUCAUUUCUCUAAUAGAGGUGGAGCCCACCAAUACAAUGGAUCACACGCUCUAUUAGAAAGAUAGUACACAAGUUGGUAUCUAAAGUUGAUCUCCCUAGCAUUUUCUUAAAUUAAAAUUGAAAUUGUUAUUAAAGGACGCUAAUUUCAACGGUAGAACACUUUACGCUACACAUAUGGACAAAAAUUGGAAUCUUGCUUUCCUCUACCCUUCAAUCGAAACAAGAAGAUACAGUUGAGAGACGAAUAGAAAAAAAUUCGCAGGAUUUUUUCUUGAUGUACAAUACAAAUACAAAACAUUUCUCAUCACAGAAAAACGCCCAAGUUACGAUACGACUUAUUAGAUGUCAACAAUCGAAUCUGCACUGCCUGGUAUCAAUCACAUUUUGGAUCCACCUAAAUACCCAUCUAAUCAUGCAAGAUAAACGGACAAAAGGACAUAUUGGAUUGGGAUCAUUUUAGACGGAAUUUUUUGCCACCACAAAUUAAACCAUGCAAUGUCAAUACCAUUCUUUCAUUGACCACCUACAAGUUUCUUUGCCUUGUGAAUGCUACGUGAGUGAUGCUGCUCACGUUGAGAUUGGUAGCAUAAAUUGUUUUAGAGCAAAGGGUAGCAAUCAUGUCAAGUCAAAUUAUGUUUAUUAAGGAACUAUCGAGUAUUAAUCAAUCUUAAUAUGUCUUGUCUAUUUAAUCAUGAAUAGAGAUUAACCCGACUUGUUAGUUAAGUAUCCUCAAGUGGCACAUGUAUCUGAUUAAGAUUUGUAAUUUUUUUUAGUAGAUAAUCGAAGUGUGAGUAGAUAUAUUUUUGUAACAUGUUUGUAUGGAUCAUUUGUGUUUUAUGCUGAGGAUUCUUGCAUCACCUAACAUGUCUAUGUGGUGUGGUGUGGUGUGUAUCGAAUUCACCAAAUUAUAGAGCAUAUACAAUCAUUUUUUAAAAUAUAUUUUAAAUGACCAUAAUGCUUUAUUAUUGCUUCUACAUAUGUUAUAAUAUGAAUGGAUUUAAUACACUGUAUAGGCGCACCGACUUGGUAUAUUAUAUACAAUGACGUAGUCGUUAUUUUUUUGUUGAAGUGAUAUUUUAACUACUCUAAUGUGCAAGGAAGAGAAUCGAACUUGAGUAUAAAAGGGCGGACACACUAACCUUACUCAACUAGCCUGACCCGCAUUGCACAAUAAUGUAGCAGUUGAUUGUGUCAUCUUCACUUGUUAAUUUGGUAUGGAAUUCUUAUAUCCCGUUUAAAAUUGUAUCCAAAAAGCUGGACCGUCCAUGCCCCAAGUUCAUUGAUAAGGGGCAUGAUCUUGUAGCCAUAGUCACGUUACUCUCUGCUUAGCUAGUACUUGAUUGUCGUGCUUACUUAAAAUUCCAACUCAAACCAAAUCCUUUCUGCAUUAAUUACUUAACCAAUUUUCAUCUAACAGAUGUCAACAUUCUAUACAUUCAAAAAUGGAUGCAACUAUCGACAUUGAGACAAAAUUGAAAUUGAGGAAUUUAAAAAUAAAUAAAUAAAUAAAAUUUUGACCUAGAUAAAUACCAAACAAUAUUAUACGUGUUAAGAAUUAUUUUUCCUGUCAACCAAACGAAGCACUGCAGUAUUGUUCUUUGGUUGAGUUCCUGAAUCUUGUACGUAAGCCAAGCCAAGGUCCAUUACAGACAAACUGGAAGACAGAAAAACUGUAGGAUCAAAAGCGAUUUCCAAAAGCUAAAAAAUACAUGCAUAUUGCUUGUUUAAAUAUGAAUCAGAAAUCCUUUUCCGAUACCCUACGUAGCUGUUUGAUUGUUUCUAGUCUUUUAUUUUCUUGUAGGUCCAUCAACAAACACAAUUAAUUUAACAUCACUAUUUUCUUCCCUUUUUUGUUUCUUGUUCAUCCCAAACUUGAGACAUUUCAACAAAACGCAUCAACCAAAUUAUAAUUAUAAUUAUUUAACAAAACAGCCCGUGAUAUAGCCUCACCAAGUUUUGUUUGAUCAGUUGGGGGUUGAGAUGAGUCUAAUAAAUUGCCCACUAGACUUCCAUUCCAUGGCAUCUCAAAGAGAAUAAUCAUUUGGUUGAGACUGAGAGUGGGACAGAUAUAAUAACCAAAUUGUAUUUGCACCAACCACUUGCGCCUUGGCCAAUGUUAUUAUUAUUAUGAAUGAGAAGGAAAGGGCAAAAUUAACGGAUAAAUUAAGGACCACUGUGAUCACUGUAUUAUGGUAUGAACGAUCCACCAAAAAUAGACUCUUUACAAGUCACUUAUAGACUGUGGCUUAUAUUCAUGUUCGUUACAGACAAUCCGUGAUUAAAGGGUGUUGGUCAUAAAUUAUGUGAUUAUUGUAGUUAUAGGUGUUGUCAUUAAUUUUAUGCCCCUUGUUCUAGUAGUUCUUUUAGCUUCAGGUUCUGCAAUUAGUUCUCCAAUGCUUCCAGAUUUAAAUCUGUUUGACAUUAAUAUUAGUUAAAAACAAGUAUGAUCGUUUGAAAUUAGCAAAAAAUAAAAAAACAUUUGGGGUGAGAGAGGCUCGAACUCUCGACCUCAGGAUAACUCAGAAGCUAUGAGACCUACGCGCUAGCCAACUGCGCCACCACCCCUCGAUGUUAUUUUCUGUCCAAAACAUUCUAAUUAUUCGCUUCAACAGGUCAAUCUAGACUCAUCUUGAUUUCAGCAUAUAAGCCCUUUUAGCCCAACGAACUUAGUUGAAAAGCACCAAAGUCAGCCCAUAAAGUUGGUUACUGGGGCUAUAUAAUUCUUGGUGCUAUCUCUUCUAUAUUAAUGGGCCUAAUGGGCCUAUUGGAUUGCUUUUAUCAAAUAAAUUUAUUUUGACCCAAAAAGGUAACUUGAUAAUAAACUACUUAUAUAAUUCAUAAAUUAAAAGGAAUUUUAAGAUCGUUAUUGAAUAUGACUUGACGAAGGCAUCAAAGAAAUCUUGGGAAACUCUAGCCCCCUUUCUUCCAAAAAAUAUUUUUAGAGCCUUUUCCACUUUGAGGGGGGAGGAAGCCAUUGUUCUUCCUCUCUCUCCCCUCUUCUCUUCCUCUCUUCCUCCUUUCACCUCUUCCCCCAUUUUCAGAGACAAAGGGUUUUUCCUAUUUGUCUUAGUUUUGUUAUGAUUUUCAUCCAACCAUUAUAGGCGGCUGCGGCUCAGCGUCGGAUCUUCACCUGCAUUUCGGCGUCGGAUCUCCACCACCAUCUUUUUUGCAAUUUCUUUAUGUUUGGAAUAAGUUGCAUAGACUCUUUGGGUUAUCUGUAUAGUUUUCACCUCUCAUUUUGUGAGAGUUUUUCAUCUCUCCUUUGUGAGAGCUUUUCAUCUCUCCUUGGGGAGAGUUUUAUUUGUAUUGUUCUGGCUUAGUUUUUUCAAGCUUUAUCUCUUUUCUAUUAUUCUAAGUUUGCAAUCUUAGUUGGGAUGCCUAUGCCAGAGUUUCUUCGAUCUUGCCUGAUCGUUAGUGGAAACAUACCUGAUUUUCUUAAUUUUGAUAUUAGACCGCUCCGUUAUUGUAAUGGCCCUUUGUGGCUAGUAACUUUUUUGGCUGAAUUAUGAAUGCAAUAAUAGAAUUUCUCAACAAAACAAAAAAAGAUCGUUAUUGAAUCAAAAUUAAAAGGACCCUAAACCUCCUUAGUACCAAAAAAAGUAAUUAUAGUGGAGUAUUGGAAUACAGCCACAUGAUAACUCAUUCAUAUGUUAUUCACUCAUAUUGUGUAACAUGUGGACGGGUUAUAUCAUAUAACUAUGUUGCAGUAUCAUAUAAUAAUUUCUUCACAAAAAGAGAUUGUUAACUACUAUAAAUUAAUCUAAUUUAUAGAAAAAGGAAAUCGAACUCAAUGCAAAAGUACGAACAUACUAUCUUGACAAACUGGCUUAAUCCAGGUCGUACUUUUAAUUAAUUUGAAGUAUGUAUAAUUGAGAAUGGUAGAGUGAGUUUGUAUCCAAACAAAAUCUUGAAAUUAUUGGGUCACAACGUUAAUUCCUCCCAAAAACGUAGCGUUGGGCCCACUGUUAUAGUUAGUUCAUCUAUAAAAAGGUUAGUGACAUCCCAACUUGCCUAACCAGACUUUUCUGCUCCUAUUAAGUUCGUUAGUCAGAAGAAAAAAUUACAUGCAACGAGGCGUUAAGGUCGACAUGAGCAAUGGUUUUGUGGGCUCUAAUGACCUACAUAGACAGUGUUUUGGAUUAAAGUAUUAAAAUUUCAUUGGAUUUUCUUGUAUUAUUUCUGAUUUCAAGUAGCAAUGAUUCAUAAAAAAACAACAAUAUAGAAGUCAAAAAAUAAAAAAUAAAAAAUUGUUGCAAGUAUUUAUCUUGUUUAUGCAUUAAAUUUAAAUCUAUCAGGCAUAGCCUCUUAUUUUAGAUUUUUAUAUAUUGAAGUUUGAAUUUAUAUAAUUUAUUUGUCAUGAAUGGGAAAUUUUUAGUUAAUUUGAAUAAGUUAAAUCUUGAUUGAAAAAUGAGAGUGAGUUUAGCACUUAAGUGAAAAAACAUAUAUUUGAAACUUGUUGGAAGCACUUUGUGGUCAGGGAUAAGCCAAACUCCGAGUAUGGAUUAAUUCCACUUUACGAGUGUGGGGACACCUCAUGAUAUUUACAAAAAAAAAAAAACAUAUUAUAUAUAUAGGGGCCCUGGUCAAUCUGUUAGUAGAAUAAUUGAACAAGAAAACCCUUAUUUAUUUAUUUUAUAUAUAUAUAUAAAUACAAACAAGAAAACCCAUUUUAUUUCUAUAUAAAAAUAAAAAUAAAUUUUUUUUAUAAAAAAAACCCUAUUUUAACUCCUACGGUACUUAUCAAUUUAGCAAUUUAAGAGUAAGGGUAUUCGGGUAAUUUUGGCAAUCAAAUAAAACCCUUAGGGGUCGUUUGGUACACAGGCUUGGCUUGGACUGGCUUGGACUAAAUUUAGUACCAUGUUUGUUUCAUUUAAUUCUAGUCUUAGAUGGGAUUGCUAAUACCGGGCCCACCAAAAACACCUCCUUAGGAGGGGACUACUAAUCCCAUGUAGAAAGGGAGGAUUAGCUAGUCCUAUAUUUACCAAUGUAUGAGAUGCAUAUAUUAUAUUGUAAUACUAGUAACAUAUAUUACUAUUAUUAUUAUUAUUACAUACACAUAUACUAUAAUGUACAUAUAUACAUGUAUAUACACAUAUACAAGUAUAUAUAUAUACACAUAUAUACAUAUAUAAUAUAGUAUAAAUACAUAUAGAUAUAUACACAUAUAUUAUUAUUAUAAUAUACUCAUAUACACAUACAUAUUAAUAUUAUAAUAAUAGCAUACAUGUAUACAUGUAUAUAUGUAAUAUAUAUUAUAUUAUAUAUUAAUGUACAUAUAUACACAUAUAUACAUGUAUAUAUAUAAACACAUAUAUACAUAUAUAAUAUAUAAAUACAUAUAUAUUACGUAUAUACACGUAUAUAUGUAAUAUAUAUUAUUAUAAUACAUGUAUAUAAGUAUAUAUACAUAUAUGUGUAUAUAUUAUACCCAUGUAUGUAUUAUAAUAUACAUAUACACACGUAUAUAGACAUAUACAUUAUAUAUUUAUACUAUAUGUAUAUAUAUAUAUAUUAUAAUAUACAUAUAUACACGUAUAUACAUGUAUAUUAUUAUUAUAACAUACCCAUAUAUAUUAUCUAUUAUAAUAUACAUAUGUAUAUGUAUAUGUAUUAUACCCAUGUAUAUAUUAUAAUAUAUAGAUACACCUAUAUACAUAUAUAUUAUAUACAUGUAUAUAUGUAUAUAUAUAUGUAUAUUAUAAUAUAUAAUAUAUAUACAUAUAUUAUACAUAUAUUAUAUAUACAUAUGUAUUUUAUAAUAUAUAUAAUAUAUGUAUAUAUACAUACAUAUAUAAUAUACAUAUAUAUACGUAUAUAUGUAUAUUAUUAUUAUUAUUAUUAUUAUUAUUAUAACAUACCCAUAUAUAUUAUAUAUUAUAAUAUACAUACAUAUAUAUAAAUAUAUGUAUAUGUAUUAUACCCAUGUAUAUUAUAAUAUGCAUAUAUACACCUAUAUACACUUAUAUAUAUGUAUGUACGUUUAUAUUAUUUAAAAUAUAUAAUAUUAUUAUAAUAUACUUAUAUACAUGUAUAUACAUAUAUAUUAUAAAAUACAUAUAUACAUAUAUAUAGAUAUUUUUGAAAAAAUAAAAAAAUUAUAGUCCUAGUCCAAGUAUACACCAAACGCAGGAUAAGUGUUAUCCAACUUAGACCAAGCCAAGCCAAGCCAAGCCAGUCCCUAAGCAUAGUCCAUGCCAAGACAGUCCUGUGUACCAAACGAGCCCUAAUUCUUUUCCCCUUCACUGUCAUAGACGCUCACCUUCCUCUCCGACUCUCUGUAUUCUAUCUCCCUUUCUCCAUCUCUCUCUACAUUGCCGCCGGCGGCCAGAUUUCAGCUUCUUCUCUUGUCCUAUGUGCUUUGCCCUUUUUCUACGCUCGCUCUGUAGCUGUAGAAGUGUUUCAUCAAUUGAUAGCAAUUUAUUGUACUGAAUGAGAGAGAAAGCUUUGAUCAAAGAUGUUUUAUUUAUUUGUUUUCUUCGACUCCUUGUAAGAUUUUUUUAGCCAAUUUUUGUGUGUUUACAUGCUGUGUCUGAGCACUUUUGGAAAGCACGAACGAGCAAAAACUCAAUGCUAAUUGCAAAAACACGACACAUUGCUAUUCAGCUGAUGUAUACUGAACCAGACCACAAGUUGUUGUAGCAAUCAAUACAAUAUAACACUGUUGCUAAUUAUAAACAAUUUCAAAAAAAAUCCAUCUAACCAUCGCAUUAAUUCAAAGGUUAUUAAUGAAAAAAAUGUGAACUUAAGAGUCACAGAGGAAAGCACCAAACAGAUUAAAAAAGGGGCUGCUAUGAAAAUUUAUUUAAGCACACCAGGGGAGGCUUUCAACAUCUAUUUAAGCACAUGCUAAGGGUAAAAAAAUUUGAAUUCGUGUGCUAACACUAGACUGACGUCAGCUCCCCUUCGGGCUCGAGUUCGGGCCAAAUUUGUCUUCAGGCCAGCCCGACUUCGUGAGACCUAGAGGUGGGCAUUGGGACUGGAAAACUGGAACACCGAACUGAACCAGUGAAAAAAAUCUGAAAAAAAAUCGGUUGACCAAAAAAGUCAACAAACCGGACCGGAACCAGUUCUGGUUUUACACCCCACCCCACCGCACCGGAUCGGACAGGUCAUAUAUAUAUAUAUUUACAAUAUUUUAAAAUCUAAUGCCAUAUUUUAAAUUUUAUAAUCACUAUUUUUCCAAGUUCAACUUCAAAAAAUUUAUAAAUGUAUGAAUUGGAUUAUUUGUUAAUUUUUAAGCCAAAAAAAUAAGUUAUUUAUUAUUAUUAUUUUCUACAAAAAAUUAAAAAAAAUAUUUUGUUUUUUUUAAAAAAUAAAAAAAAUAAAAAAUUAAUAAUCCGAUUCAAAACCGAAACCGGUCAGAACCGAACCGGCAUGUUUUUGAAAUUUUUUUUGUCUAAACUGGACUGAUUAAAUAGUAUCGGUUCUGAUUUGAGGUGAGAAUCGGAUCGAACCAGACCGCGCCCACCCCUAGUGGGACCCACACCCAGCCCGAAAGGCAUUUUUCUUCUUGGGCCUCCCCUUGCCCCAGCCCGAGCGCAACGGUGGAAUUGCUCUAAGAGCUGGACUAGGUAGGCCUAUAACCUCAUUAGGUAGGCUUAAUGUAGUCCAGCCCAAAUUAAGACCCAAAAACACGCGAGCACCAGGUCUGCGUCUUCGUUGUUUCAACCGUCAAAUCGUCGAGCUUGUCUUCACCAAACCUACGAUUUUUGCUCAAAAUCAUAAGUAGGUACGAGUACUUGUCUUUUUAAAUAUCAGCUUCUCAGAUAGUUCCCCAAAUACCCAUUAACUAGAAGGCGGGGCAUUUUGAAAAAGGUCAAAGGAGAGAGAAAUCUUUUUAAAGAGCCAAAAUGGACAAAAAUGCCAUUAUUUAUUUUUGGAUUUCCUAAGGAAUUCUUUACACUUGCAUGUCUUUAGUUUGAAGUUGAAAGGUUUUUCUGUAUUUUUAAGAAAAAUUUUGACUUUUUCCAAAAGUGAAAUUUUUUUUUUAUAGCUAAAACAUAAAUUUACUUUUGUGUUCAAUCGUAGUUUGAAGAGGAGCAGCAGCCAAAAUCUGAGGUACCCUUUUCUUCCGAAUUUUUUAUUUAAUUUCGAAUUUAAAAUUCUAUCAAUGAUGUUAAAUUUCCUAGAAUAUAAAGCUUUUAAAUGGGCUUUUGAAGGCCCAAACAAUUUUAUACCCAGCAAAGAUUCUUGUGCAGCUCUCUCUGGGUCACUCACGUUUUGAACUUCUUCCAGGUCCCAUAGGAACCCCCUCUUCUUUCUCCAUUCUUUUAGCUUGCUGCUGUCGCGCCGGAGCUGCAACUACCCGGUUAGUAUUUUUUAUUCAUAAUCACUCCCUCAGAAGUUUAUGCUUGAUUUCUUGAUGUUUUUCCCUUCAAUUCUACAUAUUUUAUAUAAAGAGUUUACUGGGUUUUCUUAGAUCAACUGUACCAACUUGAUGGAGUGCGUGGUUCAGGGAAUUAUAGAAACACAGGUAAGUACUUUGAUAAUGUGGGGGUUGGGUUAGGCUUACAUUUUGUUAUACAAUUUCUGGAAAUGCCUCUAAAUUCUGAUCACUUGAUAGCACACCUAUGUAUUGCUGCUAGGGGAGAAAGAUUGAAUCUUCUGCUUAGAGCUCACUUUUUGACACAUAUCUUCUAACCAUGUUUACCAAAUUGUUCAUUGGAGGCUAAUAUGCGAGAAAGGAAGAAAAUCUAUAUUUGGUUUUUUAUUGAGUAGUUUUUGUUUUCUUGCAUGUACAAGUUAUUCAUGAUUAUGGACUCUAUUUUGUUCACGAUUGGAAAUAGAUCCCUAAAAGAACCCCUUUUCCCCCAUCUGUGGUUAGUUGCUGUAGCUGCAUCUAAAAUAUGGUUUUCAUUUGCAGCAUGUUGAGGCCCUUGAGAUUCUUCUUCAGGGUCUUUGUGGUGUUCGCAGAGAAAAUUUGAGGGUCCAUGAGAUAUGUCUUAAAAGUGGCCCGAACCUUGGUAAUUCAUUUCUUUUCCUCUUUUCAUAUUGAGCUGUGUGGCUAGAAUAAUGUGCACAUUUUCUAUACAAUUAAGCCAAAGUCAGAAUAGUCAAUUUUCCUCUUUUAUGGACUCAUUUAAAGAGAUGUUGAAAGCCUUCCCUGGUGUGCUUAAAUAAAUUUUCAUAGCAGCCCGUUAUUUUUUAAUCUGUUUGGUACUUUUCCUCUGUGACUCUUAAGUUCACAUUUUUUCAUUAAUAACCUUUGAAUUGAUGCGAUGGUUAGAUGGACUUUUUUGAAGAUUUUUAUAAUUAGCAACAGUGUUAUAUUGUAUUGAUUGCUGCAACGACUUGUGGUCUGGUUCAGUAUAUAUCAGCUGAAUAGCACAGAAAGAAAUUAUUUUGUAGGCCGUCCUAGUAAUGAUCUUCCUUUCUAUAGGGGCUGUAGCUUCAGAGGUUCGACUUAUAUGCAAUCUUGAGCAAACUGAACCAACAUGGUAAGACUUAAAAACCUGCCUUGUCAUAUUUAUUAACACGUGGAAAUUUGUGUUUUACACAUACAUGUGAUUGUAUCUAUGCCAAAUUCUGAAUUUUGUAGGACCGUAAGGCAUAUAGGAGGUGCAAUGAGAGGUGCAGGUGCUGAGCAAAUUUCAGUUCUAGUAAGAACAAUGGUCGAAAGCAAAGCAAGCAAGAAUGUGCUUCGCUUAUUUUAUGCACUUGGCUACAAGUUGGAUCAUGAGCUUUUGAGGGUGGGAUUUGCCUUCCAUUUCCAGAGGGGCACACAGAUCACUGUGACUGUGUCAUCAGUUAAUAAGAUGCUACAACUGCAUGCCACAGAUGAGGCUGUCCCUGUAACUCCCGGGAUACAGUUGGUAGAAGUGACAGCCCCUGCUACAUCUGAAAACUAUACUGAAGUGGUAGCUGCAGUAUCAUCUUUUUGUGAAUAUCUUGCGCCGUAAGUUUUUUUUUCUUUUCCCUUUUUAUUUAUUUAUAGAAAAGCAUUAAAGCCCACCUACCUACACAUGCUUGUUGAUCUAUGCCUCAUGGCGAGGGGUCCCAGUGGUCCAAGCUUGAAAACCGAACAGACUAGUCCAUUCCACGCUUGAAAACCUAACAGACUAGUCCAUUUUUGUCUUGCAUAUCUAGUGGCUGGAUACCCUCUAUCAUCUUUUUCAUAAACAAGUCUUUAUUGGGUGAUCAGCGACGGUCCAAAGGGUCCCAAUUGAAUAUUUCUUGCACCGUUGUUGAUCAUAUUAUAAAUGAUGAGGCAUUCAAUAGUGCAUAUAGGAAAACUGUUUUUAAGGUUUAUGAUGACUUUAUAUUGAAAAUUUGUUUAUUCGACAACGUAUUCAUUCACCUGGAAUUGAUUUCUCAGGCUCCUGCAUUUGUCAAAACCGGGCAUUUCAACUGGGGUUGUUCCUACUGCUGCUGCGGCUGCUGCAUCUCUCAUGUCAGAUGGUGGGGGUACGACCUUAUAGCAGAAGUUGUAAAUUGCUUUAAGUAUCUCAUGUCAAUGUUGAAUGAUAUACAUGUAUCAUCUACAGCAAUCAGAACUGCUUGUCAAACUUCAUGUUAAUUCCCCAAAGUAGUUUUUCCAUAACUUGGAACUUUAGAUAGUUGUGUUGGUGACAGUUCCGCACAUGUAGUCGUGAUUGUCAAUGACAAUUACAGCUCUCUCUUUUCCCCAGGCAAUCUAUUCAAUACUAAAUGAAACAUUUAGCAUUUGCUAGUUAAAAGAUCAAAUGCUAAACUAGCCUGUGAAAAACGGCUAAGUUAGCCCUAGAUCAUUAGGAGUGUUGGCAUCGAGUAGGCGCUGCAGGAACGGUCGACUAAACCCUUCUUGUAAUGAUGCUAAAAAACUAAUUAUCUUUCAUAAAUGAAACCCAGUUAGUGAUAUUGUAUAUGCAGGCCUCCACUUUGUUGCCACUGACUUAUUAGCACUUUCUACAUUUCCACUCCAAACCACUUCGUCCAGAUCCCAUUGCAUUGCAUUAUUGCACUGCUUUUUAUUCGUCUUUUUUGUUUUUUUCUAGGUGAAGAGUUGAGUUCCUAGAGUAGCAUCCUAGAGUUCCAAUAAAGCCUAGAAUAAAGGAGGUAAAACAUAUUUACACAGAUCAUACACACUGAUUAUCAGAACAAUAAAUAAGUGCAGUCUUAAACUUGUUUCAAUAUGUUUGAUUUAUUCUGCUUGAAAGAAAGAUCCCUGUCUUUGUUAGUUGCCACUUGUAGCCACAUUUCCAUGCAUUGUUUGGACAUAAAAAAGUCUCGUUGAACAUGAUUAAUUGUCAUGACAUAAGAAACGUCUUUAACGUGAUUGCAUGACAUAAGAAACGUCGAGUGGUGUACAACAAUGGGAUGGGAUUAGGUGGUGAAAUUUAUCUAUUUGAAUUGAGAAAAAAAGGGAGGAAGAAACCUAAUCAACCUUGAUUUUCUAUGUUGCUUUGACAACCAUGACCAACUAUUUAACUACAAGAAUCAGGUUGAGUUAGUGUCGCUGUUGAACGGAAAAUUUUCACAAAAGCAAUUAGCCAAGAAUUUGACUUGGGUUAGAAUUGAAUUUGUUUUGUCCCUGCAAUCUUAUCAAGAAAAACAUAUAAAAAUAAAAUAGAUGUAUUUCAGUGGUUUUGAAACAUCAAGAGAUAAGCAUCUCGGUUGAGAAGUGGUCAUCAGCUUGAAUUCAAACUCAUCAUAAGAUAGCCUCUAUAAGAGGCAUAACACGAGGGGAGGUUGCAGGGACAAAAAAUAAAAGGGGAGGCUCCAGAAAAAAAAAAAAAAAAGAAAAGCCUGUAAGGCCGCAAGUCUUGGGGAGAGUUGCAGGAAUGAAGAGGAAGAGCAAGCACAUAAGAGGAUUCUUGGCUCUCUAUGGCAAGGCUUCGCUCAAAGACUUCCAAGGAUGCAUCCAGUACGAUCAACCCAUGGGGGUUCUUGGCUAUGAUGAUUGAAAUCAUCACGUAUUAAGUCAAGAAACUACUCUAAGGUGUACCUCUUCUCAAGUACCUCCAGGACAGCCAGCUAUGGACUGACAGCCAAGAUGAUUUCAAUCAGCAUAUAUUCUAUUCCAACAGGCAGCUCUAAUCAAAUGCUUUCAAAGAUGUGUCCAACCUCCAAUUCAACAUCAAUUCGUGUGGGCUGAUUGUGAUGGUGGGCAAAUCACCAAAAAAAAAAAAAAUCAGAACUGGUGCACAACUCUCUUGAAAAGGGGCAUAGAGGAAAUCCUAGAGUUCUCUAGGUUUCCCUUAUUGUGGCGCCACAAAAGCCAAAGCUCGUUCAAUGAUGUUCAUCAUGAGAUGGACAAACAGCAAAAAAAUAAAUCAAACUGAAAGAAUCAAAGGCAACAAGACAGUGAGAUUUCUCUCAGAGAUGCUUUGAGCAUCCAAACCCACAAAACAAAUCUUGGAUACAAAAUCCAUCAUGGGUGUGUAACCCUCAAUCAAACACUCUGUGACCGAUCCAAUCUGGGUACAAAACCCACAAACAAAACCAUGGGGUCUGGUGCAUACAGAGGCGAUGAACUGAAAAAAGGGAAGCUGAAGACAGUCACGCUUUUCUUUGGCAGCUUGGUGUUGUUGCAUACAGCAAGAACAAACAAAGACAACGAAGAAAAGGGGCAGCCAGCAGGCUGUGGAGAGACACCAAGAAAAAUAAAUAAAGCCAUGAGGCUUGGACAAACAUGGAGAAGGCACCACAGUGCUGAAGAAAAAGUGCACGGCAGUGAUGAGGGCAUAGCCUUGAGGAGGGAGGCAGUCAUGAGGCAGUUAAAAAAAGGGCUGCUGAAACAGAGCAAACCAAAUGCUCCACCAUUUUGGCACGCUCUAAUUGCAACCACAGAAAAUAUCUAUUUGCUGGCAGAGUAAAAAUAAUAAAUCAAGGCUGGGGUGUUCAACCCACCGUCAAAAACAGCCAACUAAGGAUCUUCAUCAUAAUCCAAAAUGAGCAAUGUUUGUGUGUAUCACAUGCUUUGAUCUUAGAUUGCCCCUCCAGCAAACAAGAGAGAUCACCCCUUCUUUUCGUGAGUGUCAGCCAAAAAGAAGAAAAAAACAGCUCAUGAAUUGUUAAAGGGCUCCAAGACAUGAGACGUGUCGACUCGUUGAUGUUUAAGAGGUCAACAAUUGGGUCUCUACCAACAAAUUGGUCAGCAAAUUCAGUGACAAUAAAGCUGCACCAAAGCAAAAAGAAAGAAAACAAAAGGAAGGAAAUAAUAUUGUUGUGGAGGAGAUGCCACCACGUGAAAGACCAAAACAAGAAAGCAGCAAUAUUGUUUUGUUCUCAUUUUGCAUGCAAGAAAUAAACAAGAGGGUGGAGUCUUAGAACUUCACGGCUCCAUAUUUACUCAAGACAAGUUCGAGACAAGUUCACGGCUUCACGGCUCAAAGCUUCACAGGCCUACUUACUCAAGACAGGUUCGGGAAAGCAAAACACUAAGGCUUCACUCCUGUAAGGACCUCCAUAAGUCCGUUUGCGAUAGGGUAGUUCCGCUCAAAUUCAAAGCUGAGUCAAUCAGGUACUGCUAAAUCAAUUGAGGUGGGCUUCAUGGGUUUGUUGUACAAAGUCACAAAGGUUAUGCAACAAGUCUAAGAGCCCAAAACACAAAUCUCAAGUCCGCAAAUGAUGGAUUAUGGGCUUAAAUUCCAAAAAUGCCCAUUAACUCUCAAAUCGUCAAGUGAAGACUCAAGUGGCACAAAACCACACCAGAUGUCAAGGGGCACAAAACCACUUCAAAAGCCACAUUAAGAAAUGUGGGAAUCAACCAUUGUUGCAAGGAAGCUGUUCAGAAAAGAGUGCCAAGUGACUCAACCAUGCUGUGACUAUGACUCUAGUCCAAAUAAAUUAUUGGUCAUGCGCGGAGCAUUAAGCUCAACUCCCAAAAGAUUUUAAAGGAGCAUCAAUAUGGAUUAAUGGGUUUUGUUGAUCAAAAAAGCCCAUUAAUCUCAAAUCCUCCAAAUCAUGCAUGGAUACAAACGCAUGUGUCAAUGAUCAAAUUAAAUUGGUGGGUUCAUCAAAAUUGCCCAUUAGUUUUCUUUGAUAUUGACAAAAAGAAAAAUGGUAUAAAACCAUCCAAUUUUCCCCAUGGGUCAUCUACCCAUGCAAAUUCCAAAUGAGAUUAAAUUCAAAUAUCUCAAACACAAAUUCUUAAUUAGUGGGCCACACUUACCCAUUAAUUUUUAAUUUUUCCCAUAGGUCAUCUACCUAUGGAAAUCUCCAAAUUGUCCCAAAGAUACAAAUUCUCAAUUAGUGGGCCACACUUACCCAUUAAUUUCUAAAAUUUGGAACUACGUCGGUUUGAUCCCGUUAAGGGUACGUAGGCAGUCUAACAUUCCAAUAGACGCAACCGCAAUCAAGUAUAAAUCUCUGGUUUAUCUUAACCAGAUUUCGCCAAAACACUUUCCCAAGUGCAAUUGUCAAUGUUUUAGGGAAAAUUAAUGGGAUAAUCAAAAUUACUCAUUAUUUUUCUUGGACAUUGACAACCAGAAAAGUGGUACAAAACCAUUCAAUUUUUCAUGGGUCAUCUACCCAUACAAAUUUCAUUGAGAUUAAAUUCAAAUCUCUCAAAUUCAAGUUCUCAAUUAGUGGGCUACACUUACCCAUUAAUUUCCAAUAUUUCCCAUGGGUCAUCUACCCAUGCAAAUUUCAUUGAGAUUAAUUCUAAAUCUCUCAAAUACAAAUUCUUAAUUAGUGGGCCACACUUAUCCAUUAAUUUUCAAAAUUUUCCCAUAGGUCAUCUACCUAUGGAAAUCCCCAAACGCAAUUGUCAAUGUUUAGGAAAAAUUAAUGGGAUAAUUAAAAUUACUCAUUAUUUUUCUUGGACAUGGACGACAACGAAAGUGGUACAAAACCAUCCAAUUUUCCAUGGGUCAUCUACCCAUGAAAACUCUAAUGAGAUUAAAGCCAAGUCUCUCAAACAGAAAUUCUCAAUUAGUGGGCCACACUUACCCGUUAACUUCCAAAUUCCGAACUACGUUGGUUUGAUCCCUUUGAAAGGGUACGUAGGCAAUCUAGAGAUUCAAUCUAGAUGCAACCAUCCCAAAUGCAAUCCCAUAUCGAAUCCCUGGUUUAUUCAGCUAAAUUCACUCAAACACUUCUCAAUACAAUUCAAAUCAAAUUUCCCUCGCAAUGAGUCAUUUCUUCAUUGCGAUUCUUUGAACUACGAGUGGCUUGAUUCCCGCAAGGGAUACGUAGGCAUCCUGAGGUUGGACUUAGGAGCAGUUGCAAAAUCAAACACAAACGUUCUGUUUCUUUAUGAUGGAAUCAAAGGGUGUUCUCUUGAAGCAAGGGAUUGUAAUUAAGAGACUUGCGUCUCGAAUGGGUCGAACCUAAAAUAAUAAAACCCCGUUAUUUAAUUAGUGGUGGUGAAAUUAUAUUAGGAGGAUCACAUUUUCCUUCAACAGUCGCUGUCAAAUUCGAUGCAAGUAAAUGACAUGAUACAAACAUAACAUAACUCGGGUCCUACCCCCAAUGUCUUCUGAACAGCUUAUCAAUGCAGGAUGCAUGUUUGAAUUAUGUUUUUAUGUGUGCCGCUUAAAUUAACGGUCAGGAAUUGUCCACACACAAUUAAUUUUAGUAAAAUUAUAUUAUUUUGUUUAUCUCUCACUGUACAUCUCUCUCUCUCUCUCUCUCUCUCUCUCUCUAAAAAGAAGACUAAUUGCAUAGCCACAAUCUACUAAUUACAAGAUUCCCCAGCCACGCUUGUUUACCUGCGAUCAAAGUAGACCUUAUUAUAGUCGUGCCUUGCCAGGAUCAUGAGUUCCCAUAUUUGCUUUGAGUAAUGCCAAUAUGAUAUAUCACAUUAUAAUGUGAAAAAAAAUAUAUUCCAUGACACUUUAGUCCCAAAUAAUGUUCAUAUAAUACAAUGCACAUAAACAUAUAUAAGAUGUGUACGUGUACAAAUAAAUGUACGUAGAUAUGCAUUACAUCACACAUAUCUGUAUGUCGGUAUAUACACAUGCAAAUGCAUGGAAUAAGUAAGAACUAAUAAUGAUCAAAGACAAAGGCAGCAACCACCAAAUCUUUCUCAAUCUGCGAUUUAAACAAAGUGCUGCCAAACAAAGUGUAGAGAUUUUCUGGUUUCAAAACAGAUUUCUAUUUCUUACACUCUUAAUAACUUACAGCAGAAUUUAUAUACACAUGGAAGGCUUGCUAAUCAAGCCUUGUAUUAAUUACAAAAGGUAGCAGGGGACAGCACAAUAGCUUUGUAUUAAUUACAAUAGGUAGCAGGGGCAGCAUAGUAGGUAUUAGGGGGCAGCUUGUGCAGCUGAUGCAAUUAAUCAUAUUUUGGCUUCUUUUGGCUUUUCAACUUCUGGAACUUUGCUCCCUUCUCCUAGAGUCAGCAGCAAUUAAUGCAAUCUCAAUACUCCCCUUCAAGUUGGUGCAAAAAUAUCACGCAUGCCCAACUUAUCAAGUGAGUCAUAGAAAACUCUACUUGAUAUGGCCUUUGUCAGAAUAUUAGCAAAUUGACUUUCUGAGUUUACAAACGGAAACUCAAUCAUACCAUUCUCCAGUUUUUCUUUGAUGAAGUGUCUAUCCACUUCCACAUGUUCGGUAUGAUCGUGUUGUACCAGAUUAUGAGCUAUUUCGAUAGCAGCUUUAUUAUCACAAUAUAGAUUUGUGGCUUUCAACUAUAUAAAUCUAAGAUCUUUUAGUAAUCUCCGUAACCAGCCCCUAAACUCAGCUUCAGCACUCGAUCUAGCCAGAACUCUUUGCUUCUUACUUCUCCAAGUGACUAAGUUGCCACCCACAAAUGUAAAAUAUCCAGAAAUAGAACGUCUACCUGUGAUGGACCUUGCCCAAUCAGUAUCUGUGUAUCCUUCUAGAUCCAUGUGUGUAUGUUUGGAGAACGUCAACCAUUUUUUAGGGGCAGUCUUCAAGUAUCUCAAUAUCCGUAUAACUCAAUUCAUGUGUGUCUCACUUGGUUGAUGCAUGAAUUGGCUUACCACAUUCACAGCAUAAGCUAUGUCGGGCCACGUGUGGGAUAGAUAAAUCAAUCUCCCAACUAAUCUUUGAUACCUUUCUUUAUCAGUUGGAGCUUGGUUUGGAUACAUCCCAAAUUUGUGAUUCUGUUCAAUAGGUGUGUCAGCUGGCUUGCAAUCUAGCAUUCUUGUCUCUGUCAAUAAAUCUAACACAUACUUUCUUUGGGAUAGAAAUAUGCCAUGUUUUGAUCUAGCAACCUCUAUGCCAAGAAAAUAUUGUAACUCACCCAGUUCCUUCAUCUCAAAUUCACUUGCAAGGAGCUUCUGUAGAGUCUGCAUCUCUUCACUGUCAUUACCGGUAACCACCAUAUCAUCUACAUAGAUGAUUAGGGCCGUAAGUUUUUUACCACGAUGCUUUAAGAACAAUGUGUGAUAUGAGUUACUCUAAGUGUACCCAAAGCGCUUCAUGGAAUUAGUAAAUCUCCCAAACCGGACUCGAGGUGACUGCUUUAGCCCAUACAUAGAUUUUUUCAACUUGCAUACGGUAUUGGGACCAAAUGUCAUAGGAAUCUCUGGUGGUGGAUCCAUAUAUACUUCUUUUUAUAAGUCCUCGUGAAGAAAGGCUUUCUUUACAUCAUACUGCAGUAGUGGCCAGUCAAGAUUCGCAGCCAAGAAUAUGAGAACACAUACAGUGUUGAUCUUGGCAACAUGUGCAAAUGUCUCCUGGUAGUCAAUUCCAUAUGUUUGUUUAUAUCCCUUGGCUACUAAUCGAGUUUUGUAUGGGUCUAUGGAUCCAUAAGUUUUGUAUUUAAUGGUGUAUAUCCAUCGAAGGUUAAGCUUGACUUAUUAUCAUAAAUUAUCUUUCUUUCCUUGUCAAAUUAAUUAACCAACUGAUUUGCUUUCUAAAGUGAGUUUGCAAACAACAAAUAAUUACUGGGCCCAAUCGCCAAUCAUGUACAUCUCCCUUUAACUCCAACCAGACUCACACAAAAGCUCCCCAUCAAGCCUGGACAAAUCAAUGGACACUUGUUGAAUUCAGACUGAAUAAUCUCCUCUUAAGUUUCCCCAACACUUCCUCUUCUGAUCAGGCACCAUUAGGUUUUCCUACUCCAAUCAAAACUUCUUAUUAUUGUAAAUGUAGGAUAAGUUUUUUGUUUAUGUUUUUACCUUCAAUGAAAUCGAAAUAGUUCACUUUAUUUUUAUGCUACGUACUACAUUGGGUUGAAAUCAAAUCAUCUUUUACAGACCAAACCAAAGUUUUUAUUGAUUAAUUAGAAGGAUUUCGGUUGUGAAAUCAAAAUCGAUGCAGUUGGCCCUCAAAAGGUUUCAAUCUCAUUCUUUUACUUCAGAAUUGAAUCCCUUUCGAGCCAACCAAAUGGGCUUAAUCCUUCAAGUUGAAGAUAUGUAAGACAUGCAUGCGCUUGAAUAGAAACCUCUCAAGCCCAUCAAGCUUCUGUGGAGCUUCAACAAGACUCAAUUUUUAAGUGUAAAAAAAUGAAGAAAUGGGCAUUACGUGGCAUUCCCCAUGCAAAUAACAGCUAAGCCCCGAAUUGAAAGAGAAAGUAAACAUACAGUGCAUUUAUAACAACAGCUGGGUUAGCAUUGAAAGCAUUUUCUAACUACUUCUGCCCUUAAUUUGAAGCAAAUCCUUGGACUGAGAGAGAGAGAGAGAGUAUUGUGUGGCUGGCUUGGUGGCACCACCACCUAUUCAUGCCCAUUUCCUCCUUCCCCACACUAGUAAUCUCUCACCCAUCUUCAUCCCCCACUUUAACUUUGUCAUUUUCAUCAAGCCACCCCAUGGCAAACGAUGCCGUUUUCAGGGCCUCUCUAGUUUGGUUGGCUGCAGUCAUAGUGGUAGUUGGAGUAUUCACACAGUCUUUCAAGAAGAUGAUGUUAACGUACGUGGUUGGUGUGCUGGGUAUUUCUGGGUUGCUCUUGCCCGAUUGGGGUUACUUUGACCGAGACUUUUCGAGGUGGACGUCUCCGGUUUCAGCCGAGGAAAGAGCCUCUGAAGUUGCUCAAAGAUCUGGGUUAAUUAGAAGGUCAGUUUUAUUUUUAUUUUUUGGGACAUGUGAGAUUUACUGGUUUUUCAAUUGAAUGUUGUGAUUUUGUUGUGGAAGAAUAUUAGUGAACAAUUGAUUGAUGUUUAUGUGUUUAGCUUAGGGUCAUCAUUAAGUGAUAAAACAUCAACAAACAAAAUUAGGGAUCGUUAUUUGACCCAUCGACUUAAGGUCUGUUGGACUAGAUCGGCCCAAAAUUUCGGCCGGCCUGAUCAUAUUUUACUAUAUUUCACAGCAAUAUAGUAAUUAACAUUUUUUUUGUUCUCACUUCUAUACGAUAACUUCUUUCUACACGAAUACAAUCUAAGUAUAUUUUAUGUAUGUAUGGUACAUCACACGUAUAUAUAUAGAGGGUUCUUUAAAUAAGUUUAUGUGAGCGACACUCUUAUAGAGUCCACCACAUUGUAUUUCAAUUAUCCAAAUUGUGUUUGCCUAUUUUAUUGAUCACAAGUGUAUUCAUGGACUAAAUUUAGGUAGUCCGGAGUGUUUGACUUAUAACCUAAGAGACAAUUCUCCGUUUUGCAGAUUUAGAAAAAAUCCUAUGAGAUCGGUUGCUUGUGCCACAGUUUAUGGGUUUGCUCUACGGAAGUGGUGGAUGUUCAUAUCAAGCUAAUGUCAAGCCAGAGAAGAUCAAUGGUGUUGGGGUACUUUCUAGUUUAUCGGUAUGUAAAUUAUGAAUGAUGACAGUUGCCAUUGCAAUAUUACUUUGGGUUCCAUAUAUAUAAGAUUUCCAAAUCCAAUUUACUUAUAAGAUAUAGCUCCAAUUUCCUCUUGGUUUGUAACAUGCUUAAUUUGGCUUAAAUUUGUGUUGAAAUUAAGGCAUGUUACGAAGACUACAUUUUUAUACCACAUGAUGUAGAAAGCGAUGUUUAUUUUCACAAUAGGAAGUAAAACUUGAAAAUAAAACAAGAACAAAAAGAAGAAAAAAGACUUUUAAUUAGUUGCAUGGUGCAACAAUUUUUAGUGAGGACUGGGUGAAUGAAUUGCUUGCAGAUAUGAUUGAGUAGAGAGACAGUGUGAAGAAAGGAAGAAGAGGUGACCUGACAGUAAUUAUAAGCACAAGAAGCGCAAAUGUUAUGGUCUAAUUUUUCAAGUUGUAUUUUAGUUUCUGUAAUCAUUCAUCAAUUAAUUGUUGUUUACAAAACCAAAAUCUAAAUAUUACAGUUCACAUUCCAACCCACAAAAUGUGGUAUAUAUAUGUUGUUUUUACCAUCGGCCACAGAUCGUUUCGUUUCUUUUAAUUUCUUUUGUCGAUGCUACAAGUUGAAGCAGGCAUGUGAAUGUGGCGAAGGCAAAGUAAUUUCAAAGUGAGGUGGGUUCGACAAAAGUAAAUUUAUUUUAACUUUCGGGGAUUAAAGUGUAAAAUAAACCGUGAUUAAAUAAAGAUAUCACCAAAGUUCCAUUCUUCUGGCUUGAUAAUCUUUGUUCAAAAUCUGAAAGACAACAACAAAUUGACCAAUGGACUAGGAUCCAACGCGGGUUAUCUGGAUUUCCAAGACACGUGUUGAUUUUGAACCUGACUUAGAUGAUACCGGUUUGAGGUUGAAUGUGCAGACAUCUCCAUUUUUGAGCUUGUUGGCUUCAUAAAACUUGUACCAUCCUUUUCUAGUAGCUAUACGAUGACUACCCCUGGUUUUGCUUUCCCACUUUACUUAUGAUCAGCGGCCAUGAUCUUUCAGACGGGUCUUUGAGAAUGAUUCUGGAUGUGGCCACAAUGCCAUUUGAUCUUGCAAAUUUUGCAGGAAAAGUCUGUCAUAAAACAACUACCAAAUUUAGAGAAAAUCAAAAAAUGAAAAAAGUUGUAAGGAUUGCAACUCAACCCUGAACAAACAGACCAAUUUCACAACUCUGCCAAGGGCUUUGCCACCAAAACUCCAGACUCAAGAAGUGUGCUUGAAGUGAACAUCAUGAAAUUUUUUAUCUUCAAUAAUAUGCAAAUAAUAACAUGACACACUUCAUACAGGCAAAGAGAAGUUAGAAAACUUACCAUAUAAGCAUGAAGAGGAUCCCCAUGGGUUUUACUCAUCGUGGUACUGAACAAAGUCCUUGAGCUUGAGGAUGCAGUUCCUUUUAAGGUUCUUUUUCCUGAAAAUAGUCCAAGGAACAACCCACAUUAGAUGCAACCCAACAUUCAUUAUAAUUAAGAGGGUGCAAUCCUAUCAAAAGUAAAAAUAUUGAGUGUAACCUGAUGUAAAUCUUGUGGGAAAUGAAGGCGAAUGAAAAUUAAUAUGCCACUGCCAUUCUUGUGUGAAAUGCAAGAGAAUUUUAAAUUUAACGCACCUUUGUAAUCAUGCUGGUGCUUGUCGCUCUGCAGUUCAUACUCUUUCUCACUACCAAGACUCAUAGGCAACCACAGUGAACACCAUUUUGCCUUUGUGUUCAAAUACUACCAUUUCUCCAAUGUUCAGGCCGUGAUGGUUCACAAAAACUUCCCAACCUUCUUCGAAAGAAAGUACUCCAUCAACACUCCUGCCAAGUCUCACACACCAAGAUCCCAAGCAGCUUUUAAUAACUGCUUUAUCCAGUUUCUUUUCACUCAGAGAACUACUGAAAGCUACUGGAAGUGACUGUUCAUAUGUAGAACAAAAAUAUUGGGUCACAAUCCUAAUCACAAUCCUAAUCCCAACUGAAGACAAAUUCAUAGUUGAACUCAAUUAUGUAUUUUCAAUCAAAACAUUAAAAUCUGUGUCAAACCAACUAGAACAAAAUUUAUGUAAGCAAUAAAUUAAGCUGCAAAUCAAUAUACAUCAGAAAUCAGAAACUGCGUAAUCAGCAGUAUGCAUUAUUGAUAAGUCAACACGAGAAGACUAGGAACAUUUAAUGGAACAGCUGCAAAUUAACCUUUUCCUCCCACUGAUUGAUUGAAUCAAAAGUCUCAUAGAUGACAAUUUGAGAUACCAAUCUUUUGAACACUCCCACUGACAAAACUUUUAGUUGGAGAUUGUGUGCCAAUAUGUUCAACAUCAAUAUUGUCUGCAUAGCGGAAGUAACUAUAGUAGUUUGUUUUGCACUUUUUCGAAUACAAUCUGCCAAAAAAUAUGUUUGAAACCAAAAACAUAACAACAUAUUAAUAACUGGAUGCAUCUGUAUUCAACUUUCAACUUAAACACCAACUUAAUUUCCUAGACCAAUAUUCAUACUUUGUAAAACAAAAUCAGUAGCUAAGAAACUAAAUAGCCUGCCAUCAAAACAAAUUAUCGAAAUUUCGUUGGAAACAAAAGGAGAAGCAUAAAAAGAAUAAUAAGACCAUGAGUGUGUAAAAUUUCUCUUACAUCACUUGUCCCACUUGGGCAAACACUCACUUCUUUGCUACUUCAAAAGAGUACGCCAAAGUACUUAUGCUGGUCACAUAACUUGUAAACAUAAUAGCUGGUAAACCAUAGAUGUAGUUCAUAGUAAAAACCAUAGAUGCACAAAAAACAACCACAAAACUACCAAAGCAAGUUUCCAGCAAUGAAGUUUACUUACUUGAAAGUUACUAUAAUUAAUUUAUAAGUCCGAUUAACACAACUUUACAUAGAAUCAAACUAGGGACAGUAAUCUUUAUAAAACAAAAAUGUGGAGUCGUUUUAUCUCCAAUUUAUAGUCCAAAGUUGCUCAUAAAAUAUGCCAGCACAUACACAAUCACAUGACCAAGGAAAAAGCAGCAAGAUUUAGGGUUUUUUAAAAUAUUUAAUUAUUUAUUACCCUAUUACCAAGACAGAAAAAUGAACCUAGAUUUGUCAAGAGAAAGCAUAUGUAAACAACAUAUGAAGUUGAACAACAUAAACCUCAAAAACAACAUAAACGUGAAAACCCACAUAUAUAUAUAUUAAACAGAGAGCGAAGAGAAGAGAAUCAUACAAGUCGUUUGUUGAACCCAGGAACCAAAAACUUGAAAAACACGGAGCAUUUCCCAGCCAUGAAUCCUGAUGAGAUGAGUGAAUAAGAAAAAUAAAUGUAAAGACAGAGAGGAAAGUUGAAACUAUGAAUGGACUGACGUUUCUGUGGCUUGUAUUCUCACAAAAAAAAUUCUUGGGUUUAGCCUUACCAGUAUAUAUAGCCUGAAAGGGCCAAUCGCUUCUCUCCAACGCAGCAUUGGCUUACAGAGAAGUGAUGGACGCUCCAUGAAUGGCAUUGGCCGGAGCUUGUCCUUUGAGUACAGAAUGCAUGCGGGUCGGAAAAGCCUGAAGCUUUUGCAGCAGCCGUCUGUGCCUGUGACUGUCUCUGUGCUACUAACGCGUCCAGAUUGCCAAAAUGAGCGUGCUAUGCCUUUAAUUGACUGAUUCUGAUUGCCAGCAAAAUGGGCCUGCAAUGCCUUUAAUUGACUGAUUGCCAAAAUGAGAAAAAGGCCCAUUAACUCUUAGCAUUUCACCUACAGAAAGUUGGGCUGAAUUGCACCCCUUUCGGCUUUUUUAUAUUAUAUUUUAAUUUUUUAUAUAAAAAAUUUCUUUUAUUGAUUUAACUUGUGCUUUUUCAGGUGUAUUUAUACGGGUUUAGGCUUUUGGACAGGUGAGAAUUUAAUUUAAACCAUAUAAUUCACUCACUCCACACACUAUGCCCUCUUUUAUAUCGUUGAUAAAAGAAUAAUGCUACUCUUACCACAUUUUUAUAUCAUAUUUUUAUAUCAUUUGAUGUGGCAGUUGAGGUAGACAGCCACAUCAAUUAAAAUUAUUUAAUAUUUUUUUUCUUUUAUGAUUUAUUUCAAUAUUUGUUUUUCUAAUUGCCUUAAUUAAAAUACACUUCAUCAAUUUAAUUGAUGUGACAUAUAAUAUGAACAUGUCACAUCAUGUGGUAUAGAAAUGUGGGAUAAAAAUGUGGUAAGUGUAGCAUUACUCUUGAUAAAAAAAUGCCCUCUUUUAUAUCAAAUGGAUCAUGACCACUACCUUACAUUCCACGAAAUUGUGCACUAUAAAUAGGAGCUAAUAAAAAGAUAUAUGUGAUAUAAAUAAGGAAGAAGAACUUACAUGUAAUGGGAUGUUAUUAUGGCGGUAUUCCAAACCUAUCACGCAUUACUAUGUCAAAAAAUAACAUUAUUAAUGUUAUGUCAGAAACUUAAAACACAUGGCAAUAGAUGAUUGACUAGAAAUAACCGUAACAGUAAUAUCUCCUAUAUAGGUAAGUUUUUCUUAAGGAGAAGGAGGAAUUGAAUACAUAACCUCAUUGCUCUGGCAUAGCAAUAUUUAUUACUUUUUAGUUAUAAUACAUAAACUUUCUCAAAUUUUGUCAAUCUCAGUGUUGGCCUUGGACAGAAGCAGUCAAUGCGACUUCCUUGGGCACGGUCCAAGAGGGCACAAAAUAUUUAUUUAUUUAUUUUUAUAAAGAAUUUCCACUUGGUCUUUUAAUAGUUUUUAUUUAUUUAUAUAUUAUGUUGUUCUAAUAAAAACGCUUAUAAUAAAUGCUCUUAUGAACAUAUGUACAUUUUGUACAACCAGUCUCAAACUGACCCUACGUACACAUGCUACUAUGUACAAAUAUGUACAUUAACAAUUUAACAUCUUGUCUGAAGUUUCAAAACCUAGUAGAGCAAAAAGGUGUAAAAAUUCAUAGGUCAUUAGCAUUGCAUGUUCAUAUAUGAUUUAAGAGUAAUGCUAUAGCCAUUGUUCUUUGGUGAACAACUUGCAAAUGUUAAGCCUAGGUAUACCUAGAAAAGAUCCUCUAAAGGGUGAAAGGAAAGAAGAAGAAAAAAGGUCAAAGGCUUAAAGAGUUCAGCUUUUCAAUCAUGUCAUGAACAUGAAGGAAAGCCUCACUGGUAUUACUGAGAAAAGGGUCUUCUUCUGCUGAGGAAAGAGUGUCAUAGAGAAAGAGAAGGGCAAAGCUCUUUUUCUGCAGAAAUGUGCAAAUUAGGGUUGUGCAAAUAAGAGCUGAGGGACUCCACCACAGUGGAGACUGAGAGUGGAGGGCAGCUUUAAAUAGCCAUUGAUUGGUGCAGACAAAGGAGGGUCACCCAAAAAUAUUAUGAGAGAGAGAAGAGAGAGGGGGUAGAUAGAUGGAAAUCCAGCUCAUUGUUGUCAAAGAAUGAUAGGAGCCCACGUGGAGAGGACUGGCAAAGUGCCAGUUCACGGACUUGUACAGUUUUGUAUCAUAAAAACUAUAGAGAGAGAGAGGUGCUCAACUCAUAGCUGUCUCCUCCUCGUCCCUAACGCUGGCAACAAGCUAGAUUAUCAAUCCUCCUCUCUGCUGCUCUCUCUGCUCAUGGGCCUCACCAUCAAAAGUCAUUGAGAGUUAUAUGAAUACAAUACAUACUUAAUUAGGGAAAUGCAUGUUCUCCCGCAUAUACUACUGACAAGGGAACAGUUGGAUUGUAAUAUGGAUAGUUGAUGAGGUUGAUUCUUUUAAAACAUGUGGGUUAGAUUCACAAUAUAACAAUAUAAAUAUAUUUUUUUUGGUAACAUGAAAAUAAGUCCGGCGAAAUAAUAUUACACUAUAUAGUUAUGUUCGAUAGUAAACAUUUUCUUAUCAACAUGUUAUAACAUAAUAUACCUAUGUUGUUAGAUUAAGAUUCUAAACCAUUUGAUAAUGUUUGGUUUUGCUUGAAUAUGUAGCCAUGUUUAUGGUUUGGUAACAUAAGUAUGGCAGUGAUAGUAUUACCCUACAUAGUUAUAUAAAAUCAUAAAUGUUAUCUUAAUAUAAGGCUUGUCAACACAAACAUAUAUAAGAUACUUAAAUUAUCAUACUAUAUAUUAUUACGAACAAUUGAUAAGUUUAGUGUGUACGGCUCAUAUUACAAAUAUAGGCAAAAUAGUUAACUGUGUGACAAUAUAAAUCUGACAAGAGAACAUUACUCGAUAUAUACUCAUUCAAUUUCAAGUUUUAAAACAUGACAAGAAGAACAUGUGAUCCUUCAAAAGAGACUUUAUGGCUCGCAUGGUCAUUAGCUUGUGGACAAGAUAAUGGUCUUCCAUUAACAUAUAAUAAUUCAAUUAAGAGCACGAACCCUUUUAGUUAAUUAAUGAUUAUUGACCAAGCAUUGGGAAUGAUUCGAUACAGAUGGUCAUAUAAAAUUAAACAACAAUGUACCAUGAUUUUGAUUUUCCUUGGCUGCCGCCCAAAGCUUGCAAUGCACAUGAUUUUUUAUCUGAAAGACUGAAACCAUUGGUUUAUGUAAUCCUAACUACUGUUUUCUUUCACUUAUUUUUCUUGUUUGGAAGUUGGCUUUGUAAACAGCUUAUGAUUAGACAGUUAGGAACAUGGGGUCAUGUGGGAAUAUUUGAUUAGCAUUUGGAAGCAGUUGAGUCAUAAAAAAAGAUUAAAUCUUAAUCUAAUAAAUUAAGCUAAAAUUAGCUGUUCUUUUGACCAUAACCAGCUAAUGUAACAUGAGGCAGAACAACAAGUGCAGAAAUUAUAAUAAUAACAUUGGUGAUCUUUUGGGCAAACCAAUUGUCAAUUCACAUACCAUGAAUUGUCGUCCAUUGCAGCCACAAAUCAAAACACAUUAAACAAAUUCAAAGAACUAAUUAAACCCACUGGUUAGUGCUCAGCAGCAUUACAAGAGCAACCAACUUUUCUUUAUUUAGUUAAGAGAACUGUUAGAGAUACUAAAUUUGUUCCUUAACUUUUAUUCACCAAAUAAUACGGCAGGGUUUGAUUAAUUUAAAUCUGUAUGUACUUUCAAUUUUAUUUAUAAUUAAUAAGUAAGAUAUAUUAAUAUGUAUUUGUUGAAGAAUAUAAAAUCUCACAUCGAAAACUUGACUAAAUAAAUUAGAACUUAUAAUAAGUGGUUCCACUCCUAAUAACACCGAAGUUUUUUGUGGUAAAACUCUACACCUACUGAGUUUUGUAAGUGAUUAAAUUGGGGACAAUAUCGGUUUUGCUAAUAGUGGGCCGCUGAUCCGUCUCUUUGAAAUUUAACAUGGUAUCAGAGAAGGGCUCCAACCCAAACCGGUUACAUCUUGAUUGGAUGUGGCCACCGAUCUGAUUGACCAACCACACCUUGAUAGGUGUUGCCAUCAACCCAAUCGACUCUGACUCAGAAUAUGACUUAUGAAUCACACAAAUACGGAUGAUUAAUUUCGAUGUGAACUUGGUUCCACGUAUGACCCAUUAUUUAGUGAAUAAAUUUAGUUGUGUUAUUGUUAUAUCUAAUUAUCCAAAAUCAAUCACAUCCACUGAAUCAUUUUUCGAUAGAAAGGGCAACUCGGUGAUGAUCGAAUGGUCCAUCUUACUGGCCUAGUUAGCAGACCCACAAUGAGUACAAAUGUUGGGGCAUCUCUGAUACCCACACCUACACACACACUGUAUUAAUUGUGUAAACAAAACAACUAACUAAUUACAGAUCAUACCAUAUUAUGCUUUUUGGGUCUACAUUAAUACAACUUUCUUUGGGACAAAUAAUUAAGAUUAAAAACUAAAAAAAAGAACACCAGGGUGGCGAAGAUCAAAAUAUUUUUUAUUUGUUACAUGUGGUAUUACAAAUUCAUCGAAAUUAUGAUAUAUUGUGAUGAAUAAUUAUCACUCUAAGGUAUAAUACUAAUAAAAUAAAUAUACACAGUGUUAUAAUAUAAGUGAUAAUAUAAUAUGUGAUGGUGUUACGAGGAUACAGAUAAAACAAGCGAAUUAGAGAGAGGAUUGGAAUGGUGGGAUUAAAAUUUGAUUGGAGGGUGGGAGGGUAUAUUAAUGCAGAGACAGGGAGGACACACUUGAAGUGCAUUAGUCACACAGAGCUGUCAUUCGCUAUUACGAAGCCACCCUCCUCCCCUCUCCUAAUUCAUAGCCAGCAAAUCAGGGUUUGCAGCUGUCGGGUGCUUUAUCUCUCUCUCUCUCUCUCUCUCUCUCUCUCUCUCUCUCUCUCUCUCCCUCUCUCCCCCCCUCACUCAAUCAACCAAACCAACUCCUCUGUUUCAAACUACUCAUCAAAUAUUUGACAGCAAUACCAACAGCAACAGCAACAUUUUAAACUAAUGCAAUAACCCUUUUCAAAUUUCUGUGUAUUCAAUGAUUUUCUCUCUGUAAAAAAAAAAGAAAAAAAAAAGAGAGAGAUGGAAUAAUAAUUAUGGAGAUGGAGGAGCAUAUAGACAUGGAGCAAGCAAAGAAGAUCAACAACAACAACAACAUGAGGUGGAAGAAAUUAAGAGGCCUCUGCUUAGCCAAUAUUUCUUCUCUGUGAUCAACAACUGCGUUUGUGUAUGAGUUCAUGUGGCAAAAACCAAGAAACCAGUUUGUGAUUUUGAUGAUUUAGAUGCCAUGGCUUAUCCACAUUACCGAUCACAGUUUGGGGACACAACGUUUACGAAAGUGUUUGUUGGAGGGCUCGCUUGGGAGACACCAACUGAUGAAAUGCGUAGAUACUUUCAGCAGUUUGGGGAGAUUCUUGAGGCUGUCAUUAUUGCUGAUAAGAACACUGGAAAAUCUAAAGGCUAUGGAUUUGUAAGUCUUUGAUAUUUUAAUCAAAGAUCGAUGGGUUAUUUUUAUUUUGUCUUCUGGUUUGGCUUACUCUUGUGUUCUAAUUUUAUGACUAGGUGACAUUUCGUGAUUCGGAAUCGGCAAGGAGGGCUUGUGCAAAUCCAAACCCUGUGAUCGAUGGAAGAAGAGCAAAUUGUAACAUUGCUUCGUUAGGACGUCCUCGGCCUUCACCCCCGAGAGGUACAUUACAUAUUUCAACCCGCAUUUGAGGUCCUGCAUUCGAUUCUCCCCUCUCUCUCGUAUCGUUGUAUAACUUUGCUAAAACUGUGCAUUUUCAUGGUUUAUACAGGAAGAAAUCAAGCCUCCGGUCCAUACCAGGGAAGUGCACCACAGGCUGCACAAUCGUAUGGCGGAGCGCCGCCAUUGCCACCACCGCUGCCGCCACCAGCCCCUAUUAUAUAUCCACCUUACAGGUAAGAAAUGUUGCAUUAUUAUUAUUUUUAUAACAAUUAAAGCUUUUUUUUUUUGGAGGGUUAAAGAGAAAUGGUCCAUGCAUAUGCAAUGAAUUAAAUAAGUGUCGUUUUUUAUGCUACAUAUAAAUAAAUAUUUCCUCGGUACAGUUGGUAUCAACCUGUAAAUAGCAAAUAUAAAUCAUGUAAAUUGACCUUCGUAGAGAAGGUGGGGUGCCAUGUUCUCUUGAUGUACAUAUAUUAUGAUACAUUGAUGGAUAUAUUGACCAAAAUCAUCUAUAAAAUACAGCAUUAAUAUUAUAUUAUUAAUUGCUGAAAAAUGUAAUUGUUUUAAGGAAAUUAUAAAGAUUAAUGGAGCUACAUUUGGUAGAUGAAGACGUGAAUAGAUUACAGUGAUAUUACUUAAAAAGAAACAAAUGGUCAAUCUUUGUCUUCAUCGGUCAACUCUAGGGUGGUGCUUCCUAAGUCUUUUGUGUUUUCCAACUUUGUUCCCCUUUUUACAAGUUCUACCCUAAAACCAAUCACUCAUACAUCUCAUUAAGUCAAAGUUAACUUAAUCUCUGUUAAUAUGAUCAGUGCGAAACACUUUAAGAAGCAAAUUAUUAUUAUUAUUUUGUUAUAAUAGAAGCGAUAUUGGAUAUUGGGGAGGGAGAAUCAAAUCUUAGACCUCUCGAAUACAAGGAUAAAUAUUCUCAAUCACUUAAACUAUAAGCCCUUUGUCUUCCAGAAUGAAAUCAUAGAAAGAAAAAAACUUCUCACCUAUAGAAUGAAUUUAUUUUGUUGGAAAUAAAUCUUCAGCUAUCAAGUUAUUUUCUGCCAUCGUUACCCGGCAAUCUCAUUUAAUAUUGAUUUGCAGCUACCCAACGUACACUCCUGCAGAUUAUGGGUACCAUCAAGUUAGUCUCUCUCUCUCUCUCUCUUGCAUAUACAAUAAUUGAAACAUAUGCAACAAUUGGUUCACAAUAUUAAUGAAUGGUUGAUGUAUUGCAGCAGGCAAUGUACAACCAACAAGUUCAACAGCAGCCCCAGUACUACUCUCAUCAAGUUUAUGGAUCAUCACCAUCUUCUCCCAUGGGCACUCCAUAUUAUUAUCAUGGCUAUUCUUUUCAAUCUCCAAGGGCAACGUUUUCUUCACCCCCGGCGCAUCGUAUGCCUGCUCCUUCCUAUCUCUACUAUCCUACGCAGAUGGAACCCUCCUCCUCCUAUCCAAAUCCUGCUCCUCCACUCCUACAACAACCCCCCACCUCAAGGCAACAUCCUCCCAAUUUUACCUCUCCUUCACCUGGUAAUUAACUACUUUAAUCAAUUCAUUAAUUUCUCUACUUUUUUUUUUAUCACUGUUUUAUUUUAUUUUAUUUGGUAUUUAGUAGUUAUAUGUGAAGUAUAUAUAGUUUAAAAUUCAAUGGAAAAUAAUUAUUAAAACUUUGUAGCUAGGUAGUAGUUCCACAUGAUAUAUAUAUAUAUAUGUGUGUUUUUUUUUGGGGGGGUUCCCUAGGGAUUUGUCUAACAUGGACCUAGUGGGGCUACAAGGGCAAGGCCAACCCAUGUGAGUGAGCUGUCUGCAUGGUUUGUGUGAUGACCCAAAGGGUCAAAUGGGAAGUCAUGACAGAGAAGCAGAAGCAGAAUUUGUGUAAAUUAACAGUGCUGCAUGUGGCUUCAACCUCAGCAGUCAAAAUCAUGCUUCAUUCUCGAGAGAUAUUUGUAGUCAAGUGGUCGUUUGGAGGAUUAACACUUGUGUGGAACGGGUAGCUUGGGGCAUAGCCAUAAUUCAAUGUUUGAGGGUCAUAAUCUAAAAUUUUAUAAUUUUUUCUUAUUAUCUCACGUCAUAUAGUAUACAUAUACUCACGUCAUAUAGUAUACAUAUACUAAGGGGAAGAAGAAGAAAAAUCGGGAGGACCAAAAUAAUGCUACGCUCAUUUCACGCGAGUUUUUUUUUUUUUUUUUUUGAGGGGGAGAAGGAAUGAAAAAUAACAUUAUAAAUUUAUAAAAAAACACAGUUAUAAUUGAGUUUCGAGUUAUACUGAUUAACAGUUUGAUUACAUAAUAUGAGGAAAAAAAAAUUGCUCUAUGUAUAUGUUGCUUGAUUACUUAGGUCUCAUAUAUAUAUAUAUAUAUAUAUAUAUUACAAACCAUUUUCUAUAUUCUUUAGCAUAAGACAAGUGAUUAAUAUGUUGAGAAAAUGGUUGUGGAUACUGCUAAAAUAUGAAAACUAUGAGAGAGUAUUUGUUUGUGGGAAUUUUCUGUGUAUUCUUCUCAUUGUAGGAGGUCAUAUUUAUAAUACAAUGAAACCUGAAUGGGCAAGUAAAUAAUAAAUUCCUAAAUCUAUUUACAGUAGGAAAUCAGGAAUUAAAGUAAAUCAAUUACAAUUAUAAUAGGAAUUCUUGGUGUGUAAGGAAAGUAAGUCAAUAUCCACAAGUCACGCCAACACUCCCCCUCACGUUGGUGCAUAGAUGUCGCCAAUGCCCAACUGAUCCAGUGAAUUGUGGAAUGCUUUACUGGAAAUCGCCUUUGUCAAAAUAUCCGCCAAUUGAUCCUCGGAUUUCACAAAAGGAAACUGAAACACUUUAGCCUCAAGCUUCUGUUUGAUGAAGUGUCGAUCUACCUCAACAUGUUUAGUACGAUCAUGCUGAACCGGAUUCUGUGCAAUGGCUAUAGCAGCCUUGUUGUCACAAAAGAGAUUCAUUGUGGAUGUAGGUUUAUACCCGAGUUCAAUAAGCAACUUUCUUAACCAAAGAAGUUCACAAAUCCCUUUAGUCAUGCCUCUGAACUCGGCUUCUGCACUGGAUAAAGCUACUACAUUUUGUUUCUUGCUCCUCCAUGUCACCAAAUUACCUCCCACGAAUGUGAAGUAACCCGAUGUGGAUUUUCUAUCUGUUACAUUACCUGCCCAAUCUGCAUCUGAAUAACCAUCAAUAUUUAGAUGACCAUGCUUUGAGAACAUAAGUCCUUUUCCAGGUGCAGACUUCAAAUAUCUAAGUAUCCGAAGAACUGCAUUCAUGUGGUCUUCACUUGGAGAGUGCAUAAAUUGACUGACAACGCUCACCGCAUAAGCAAUGUCUGGUCGAGUAUGUGACAAAUAGAUCAAUCUUCCCACUAACCUUUGGUAUCUUUCUUUGUUAGUUGGAACUUGAUCCGGAUAUUCUCCAAGAUGAUGAUUCUGAACAAUAGGAGUGUCCGCAGGUUUACAAUCUAGCAUUCCUGUGUCUGUCAACAAGUCUAAGACAUAUUUCCUUUGAGAGAGAAAUAUGCCUUGCUGCGAUCGAGCCACCUCAAUUCCCAAGAAAUACUUGAGUCCACCUAGAUCCUUCAUCUCAAACUCCGUAGCCAGAUAGUCUUGUAGCUGUGAUAUUUCCUGUUUAUCAUUCCCAGUAAUAAUCAUAUCAUCAACAUAGAUUAUUAAUGCUGUUACCUUCCCUUUUUGAUGUUUCAAGAACAGAGUAUGAUCUGAGUUGCACUGUUUGAAACCAUUGUUCUUCAUUGCCAUGGUGAACCGUCCAAACCAUGCACGUGGUGACUUGUUUCAAUCCAUAACAAUGCUUUUCGUAACCUGCNNNNNNNNNNNNNNNNNNNNNNNNNNNNNNNNNNNNNNNNNNNNNNNNNNNNNNNNNNNNNNNNNNNNNNNNNNNNNNNNNNNNNNNNNNNNNNNNNNNNGGAUCACAGUUUGGGGACACAACGUUUACGAAAGUGUUUGUUGGAGGGCUCGCUUGGGAGACACCAACUGAUGAAAUGCGUAGAUACUUUCAGCAGUUUGGGGAGAUUCUUGAGGCUGUCAUUAUUGCUGAUAAGAACACUGGAAAAUCUAAAGGCUAUGGAUUUGUAAGUCUUUGAUAUUUUAAUCAAAGAUCGAUGGGUUAUUUUUAUUUUGUCUUCUGGUUUGGCUUACUCUUGUGUUCUAAUUUUAUGACUAGGUGACAUUUCGUGAUUCGGAAUCGGCAAGGAGGGCUUGUGCAAAUCCAAACCCUGUGAUCGAUGGAAGAAGAGCAAAUUGUAACAUUGCUUCGUUAGGACGUCCUCGGCCUUCACCCCCGAGAGGUACAUUACAUAUUUCAACCCGCAUUUGAGGUCCUGCAUUCGAUUCUCCCCUCUCUCUCGUAUCGUUGUAUAACUUUGCUAAAACUGUGCAUUUUCAUGGUUUAUACAGGAAGAAAUCAAGCCUCCGGUCCAUACCAGGGAAGUGCACCACAGGCUGCACAAUCGUAUGGCGGAGCGCCGCCAUUGCCACCACCGCUGCCGCCACCAGCCCCUAUUAUAUAUCCACCUUACAGGUAAGAAAUGUUGCAUUAUUAUUAUUUUUAUAACAAUUAAAGCUUUUUUUUUUUUGGAGGGUUAAAGAGAAAAUGGUCCAUGCAUAUGCAAUGAAUUAAAUAAGUGUCGUUUUUUAUGCUACAUAUAAAUAAAAUAUUUCCUCGGUACAGUUGGUAUCAACCUGUAAAUAGCAAAUAUAAAUCAUGUAAAUUGACCUUCGUAGAGAAGGUGGGGUGCCAUGUUCUCUUGAUGUACAUAUAUUAUGAUACAUUGAUGGAUAUAUUGACCAAAAUCAUCUAUAAAAUACAGCAUUAAUAUUAUAUUAUUAAUUGCUGAAAAAUGUAAUUGUUUUAAGGAAAUUAUAAAGAUUAAUGGAGCUACAUUUGGUAGAUGAAGACGUGAAUAGAUUACAGUGAUAUUACUUAAAAAGAAACAAAUGGUCAAUCUUUGUCUUCAUCGGUCAACUCUAGGGUGGUGCUUCCUAAGUCUUUUGUGUUUUCCAACUUUGUUCCCCUUUUUACAAGUUCUACCCUAAAACCAAUCACUCAUACAUCUCAUUAAGUCAAAGUUAACUUAAUCUCUGUUAAUAUGAUCAGUGCGAAACACUUUAAGAAGCAAAUUAUUAUUAUUAUUUUGUUAUAAUAGAAGCGAUAUUGGAUAUUGGGGAGGGAGAAUNNNNNNNNNNNNNNNNNNNNNNNNNNNNNNNNNNNNNNNNNNNNNNNNNNNNNNNNNNNNNNNNNNNNNNNNNNNNNNNNNNNNNNNNNNNNNNNNNNNNNNNNNNNNNNNNNNNNNNNNNNNNNNNNNNNNNNNNNNNNNNNNNNNNNNNNNNNNNNNNNNNNNNNNNNNNNNNNNNNNNNNNNNNNNNNNNNNNNNNNNNNNNNNNNNNNNNNNNNNNNNNNNNNNNNNNNNNNNNNNNNNNNNNNNNNNNNNNNNNNNNNNNNNNNNNNNNNNNNNNNNNNNNNNNNNNNNNNNNNNNNNNNNNNNNNNNNNNNNNNNNNNNNNNNNNNNNNNNNNNNNNNNNNNNNNNNNNNNNNNNNNNNNNNNNNNNNNNNNNNNNNNNNNNNNNNNNNNNNNNNNNNNNNNNNNNNNNNNNNNNNNNNNNNNNNNNNNNNNNNNNNNNNNNNNNNNNNNNNNNNNNNNNNNNNNNNNNNNNNNNNNNNNNNNNNNNNNNNNNNNNNNNNNNNNNNNNNNNNNNNNNNNNNNNNNNNNNNNNNNNNNNNNNNNNNNNNNNNNNNNNNNNNNNNNNNNNNNNNNNNNNNNNNNNNNNNNNNNNNNNNNNNNNNNNNNNNNNNNNNNNNNNNNNNNNNNNNNNNNNNNNNNNNNNNNNNNNNNNNNNNNNNNNNNNNNNNNNNNNNNNNNNNNNNNNNNNNNNNNNNNNNNNNNNNNNNNNNNNNNNNNNNNNNNNNNNNNNNNNNNNNNNNNNNNNNNNUUGUCCCACGGAACUACCAACUCAGGGACACAUUUCAGAGUGAAUUAAUGUAAAUGGAGUAGUACACUUGUUCGUACUCAACGGGUAGGGCACACGGUGACUCUUGGCCAAAAUACAAGUAUCACAUGUGAAGUCAGAGUCUUUGAAACCUGAGAAUAAAUCUGGUAUAAGAUGCUUCAUAUAACUAAAAGACGGAUGUCCCAAUCGACGAUGCCACAACCAAAUUUGCUUUUGUUUGCUAUCAAAGGAAUGUGUCACACUGUUAGCCACGCCGGGACUGAAGUCAUCGACAUAAUAUAGCCCCCCUCUCUUAGUACCACGACCAAGAAUCUCCUUAGUGUGAAUAUCCUGAAGCAAACAAAAACUCGGGUAAAUGAGUACACAACAAUUCAAUUGUUCAGUAAGCUGACUAACUGACAACAAUUUAGUGGAUAAAGAUGGAACAAGUAAAGUAUUAGACAGUGUGAGAGAGGAUGAGAGUGCAACAGUGCCAGCCCCUGUCACAGGAUAAGUAACACCAUUGGCAUUUGCAAUACAUGUUCGUCGAGGUUGUGUAGUAUUCAAAAAAUCAUCAGGAUCAAACGUCAUAUGAUCAGUUGCACCAGAAUCAAUUAUCCAGCUCUUGGAAUCAAUCUUAUCGGAAGUAUGGAAUCCAUAACCAGUACCAUUACUGGUCAUAUUGCAUUGUCCUCGAUCUGUAAGAGUAGCCCACCAAUCGGGGUAGCCAUGCGAUGUAAAACAAGUCUCACAAGUGUGUCUCGGAUCACCACAAUAUGCGCAAUUUGGUCCAUGUGUCGGGGUCGUUAGUCUAGAAGUCAUAAGCUGUGCAGCGGAAGAAGCAUAGGAUACAGGUUGAGUAGGAAUUUGGAUCGGAAUCUGAGCAUGAGUCGGGGCCGGAGUCGGAGUCGAAAUCGGAAUCGGGGUCUGAAUCAUAGACAAAUUCGAGGUUGGGGUCAUCAUCGAAGUAGGGGUCGUGGUCGUCUUCGGAGUCGGGGUCAGGGUCGUCGUCGUCAUAGUCGGGGUCGGGGUCGGGGUCGUCAAAAGAAGAUCCUGAUUCUGGAUCGGGGUCUGAAUCAUAGACAAAUUCGGGGUUGGGGUCAUCAUCGGAGUGCGGGUCGGGGUCGUCUUCGGAGUCGGGGUCGGGGUCGUCUGGGCACUCAACUCAACGAUGGUUGGUUGAGAAUGAGAGAAGGAGUCGGUGGUGCUACCUCCAUGAGGGUUGAAAAAAUCAUCAACCCUCAUAGCGGCGGCGGAGUUUUGAAACUAGAGUCAGCAAUUCCAAGAUCGCCGCUCUGAUACCAUGCUAAAAUAUGAAAACUAUGAGAGAGUAUUUGUUUGUGGGAAUUUUCUGUGUAUUCUUCUCAUUGUAGGAGGUCAUAUUUAUAAUACAAUGAAACCUGAAUGGGCAAGUAAAUAAUAAAUUCCUAAAUCUAUUUACAGUAGGAAAUCAGGAAUUAAAGUAAAUCAAUUACAAUUAUAAUAGGAAUUCUUGGUGUGUAAGGAAAGUAAGUCAAUAUCCACAAGUCACGCCAACAGAUACCUGUGGUUUUGAGUGGUCAUGCCUGCAACAAUUUUGAUAGUCAUUUUCUUUUUGGUCCGAAUCUUAAGUUUUAAUAAACCCCACUCUUGGUCUGACAUUAACCCCACUCUUUAAAAGCACUUAAAUACAAAUUUUUGUCGAACGAUGUCUCAGUACUGCGUUACAAUCCAUGAUGUGUCAUGCUGAAAAUAUGGACCGUCCGAGCUAAUAUUGACAUAUAGUACAAUUUGUCCUUCUAGCACCAGAAGAUAUAUAAUUUCCAUGAUCUUCUCUUUCCUUUCCUUAAUCUUUCAACUUCUAUAAAAUAAAAUAAAAAUUCUAUGUCUUCAACUAUUUCAUACUUAAAGAUUUGUUUAUCAUUGACAUGUUCCGAGUAAUUAGUUUUUUCUUUCUAAAAUUUUAGCUACUGAAUAAUGUGGUAAAUGAUACGACAAUAUCUUAUAGUUGCUAGAAACAAAUGAAGUUCAAAAUACGCCCAACAAAAUAAAUAAAGUACUGAACAUUUGUUGAGAUUCAAAAUUUUAAAUUAAGUUUAUCACGGUGUUUGUAGCAUUGCUUUAUAUUGUCAGACUAUUAAUCAUCGCCAUUGAUUUGGUCAUAUAUGAAAUUGUCUUUCAAUGGGUGUAUUAUUCUUAUAUAUUAGGGCAAACAACUGUGCUCUUAAAAUUUCUUUCUAAAUUGCUGCUAUAUGUAGAGCAUGUGCUCAUGUGGAAAUCUAUACUGUUGUUCUUGGUCUCAGAUUCACAGAAUCCACAACAUGCGUCUACAGAAACAGAAGCUGGAGUUGUUACUUCAGAAAGUACUCCAGAUGCCUAAAAGGACUCGUUGAUAUAUACAUGAUUUCAUGAAAAAAAUUUCAUUUGUAUAAACUUUAUAAUUAAAAGGUCAUGUUCUCUUUAUCAGCCGAUCAUUAUUUUCCGUUUGGCAGCCAUUCAUAGUAUUUUUUGGGUCGAAAUAGGUGAAUACUGCUUCAACAUUUCUUGUGUUCAACACAGCUAUUAUGUGGCAAGAAAAAGAUUAUCAACUAAUCAACCAACUCAUGCAUUUUUUUUGGUCUAUUCCCUUUCUAUAUUAAUUUACUUUGUUCAUUUUUAAACUGUAUCAUUUCUCCAGUAAAAUGUAUGAAGAAAUUUUGUUCUGGGCCCGUACGGGAAGUUAAUGUCGAACUUGAGCCAACACGUCUUACGCAAUUGAGCAAAAUGUGCAACUCAAAAUGUUAUGUAGUGGAUCUUCAUAUAGUGGCUUCUUCCAAACGAAUGCACCAUUUGUUACCAUAUGCAUCGAUGUUCACAGAGCAUUGCUACGCUUACCAAAUGACAUAACAGUAUGUAAUUCAUUCCAAUCUAAAUCGGCUAUGAACAGGGUCGGCCUUGGGCCUAGGCACCAAGGGCGAUGCCCAGGGCUCCAAAAUUUAUAUAUACAGAGAGGUUUCGUUGAGGGAUUGUAAGACUCACUCUAUAUUGUAUUUCACUAAUUCAAACCUUCUUUUUAUAGAUAUUCAUUCAAAUUCUACAAAAAAAAAAUCACUUGAAUAUAAUAUCAUUUGACCAUUCAAUUAAAUUAUUAAAAAUUAAGAACUCUUUUGAAGCACUGUGUUAAUUGAUAUUUUGUUGGUUUCAAUUAGAUGCCUUAAUGAUUUUCAAUUUAUCUCAUUUUUUGCAAGGAUGAUAUAUGAAUGAAGACUUGAAAAAUAGAUGGUUUGGAUCGUUGGAGGAAAAAAAAAAAUAGUAAGGUACCCUAGAGGGUGUCCCUCAAAUAAAAUAAUUUGAGGAAUCCCUCAAUGAAGGAGACUGUUUAUAUAUAUAGGGAUCUCUUAGUCUUCCUAUCUUUGUGCUUCAAUCUCUCACUGAAAAGCUCACACUUUAAAAUAAAAAAUAAAAAUCUAAUCUUUGUCUUUGAAACUGAAAGUGACCAAGAGAAGAGGAGCAUGAAAGUUUAAAAAACAAACUAGAUUUUUGAAUUCUUUAAAUUAUUAAUGUUAAUAAGUUGGGAAAUUUUUUGAAGUUUGUAAAAUGGAUAAAUGUUUUUGGGUUUAUGUAAUUUUCUGAAGCCUGUUUAUAGGAUUUGAACUGUCAGAGUCUCUCAAUACCAUUUCAUGUGUAAUUAGAGCCUGGGUGAUGAAGUAAGAGCAUCUCCAGGAGAGUCUCCAAAUUUUAGUCAAAUUCUAGCUAAAAUAGCUAAGAAGCCAUUAUGGCAAACUACUUAAAAGGUGCUUCGUCCAACAAUGCUCUCUAUUUUAGCUAACCUCAAAUAUUUUAUUAUUUCUUAAAAUUUAAACAUUUAGUAUACCUACUUUUCCAACUGCUAGUUUACUAGUCUUGGAUUUUUUUCUUGCUAGUUUAAGUAAUCCAUUUAGGUUGAUCCUUCAAUAGAUGCCAACAAUGCUCAUACACAAAUGCUAAUCCCAUGAGUUGUUGAUACAUUUCUUUUGCUUCUAAGAUAUGUACAGCAUUUUAAUAAUCAAUCAAACAGUUUGUAAAAAUACAAAUCAUUUACAGUGUCAAAAACACAAAUCAUUUACAGCGUCAAAAACACAAGUUAUUUACAGUGUCAAAAACACAAAUCAUCAUACACAUCAAGUAAGAAAUUUCAAAAAUUUCUCAUUUAUUUGCAAUAAUAAAUAUACAUAAUGACUAAAUUUGAUUGUAAAAUUUUGGCAAGAAGAUUACCCUGUCUUGUUCACAACAAAAUUCUUAGCUCUUUGUGGUUUCUUAGUGGGUGGUCUAGUUGGAACAAUCACUUGAGGCAUGUCAUUGUCCCCUUCAUUUUGGUUUGCAGUUGUGUAACCAAAUGUUGAAUAUGUAUUAUCUACAGAAUCCAUCUACAUAUAUAGCCUCAUGACAUUAAACCACCGUUAAGAUUAUUCUUAAAAUACAUUUUUGUAGAGAAGCACCUCCUAACAAAAACUAACGAGAAGCUUUGUGAAGCCACCCAUCAAACAAUUUGCAGGCAUAGUUAAGUUCAAAUCAACACAAACCAUAAAAUGCAUUAAUCUGAACCUUGCCUAACUUGAAAUGGUUGUAGGUAUUCAAAACUUGGCAAAUCAAGUAAUUUCAAACACUUCCAAGCAAAAACCUAGAAACCCAUAUACAAAUUUCAAACCUAGAAAUCCAUACACAAAUUUCAAGUAUAGUUUAAAAGGAAUUUUCAAAUUUCAUCUGGAAAGACCACUUAGAGUUCAAAGAGAGGUAGAGAAACAUAGAAACAAGGUGAGAGAGACUUCACAGAGAGAAGACGAUGGAGACUUUGAAGUUUUGAAUUUGAAUUUUUUAUUGUUGCAACGAGAUGGCUUGAAUUUCUCUCUCCUCCUUACUAGAUGUAGCAAGCCAAAAUUGUGUUCUCCAAAAUGGCGAGAGAGGUAGCGACGUUGCUAGAGUGUUGUUUUUCCUUCUUUUUCACCAAAAUAACUAGGGGUGAGAGAAUAAAGAGUCUUCUAAAGAUGCUCUAAGGUAAGCAUGUUGAGGACCUCGGCUCCUUCUCAAAAAUAGUCAAUCAAUUAACUAAGGGAAAAAGCCUAAUUUAAUUUAUGGCUUUGAGCUUUGGGCUGCCCAAAAGUUAAGGUCGACCGUGACUAUAAACCUCAUUUAUUUCUAAGUGUACACUUUAACAUAUGUACAUAUACAAAUUUGAGUAUAAUAUUUUUGGUGUUUAAAUUAUAAGAAGGUUGACAUAAUUUUAUGUGCAUUGUGUAGCCUUACGUAGAGAGAGAGAAAAAAAGAAGAAGAAAAGAAUACACGAGGUUUAUACUCUACGCGUUCAUCUAACCCCACACUUGUGACAAGAGAUCAAUUCUCAAACUUUGCCUCUUUCGGAAUCUUCAUGACUAAAUAUACACAUACACAAAACUAAGGAUGACGGGUCUCUUUCAUGUUAUGGUACAAGAUUUGCUCUCUUAAGAACCUCAUUUGCAUAAAAAUUUGCUAUUAGUUUAGUGAUGUUUCCCUUUUCAAUAUUGAAAGAAAUUUCAUGUAUCAAUCAACCCUCAUUUGUUAAACUUAAAAGGAGUGUGAUUUGCCUAAAGUUAAAACUUUGAAAUACACUUCACCCAACUCGUUCGGCCCACAAUUGGGCUUCAGCUCAGCCCUUGUUGAGUUGAGUAAACUCUUCUAUUAGAGCACCUCCACCCCAAAGGGGAAGGGCAAGGCAAGGUUCCUUUGUCUUUUUUGUUUCCACCCCUAUGGGCUAGGGCAAGGGCAAUUACUAUUCACAUAAGAUAUGAGCAGAUGAAUUUGUAUAGAGUUUUUGGUGUGGGAAGUAAAGAAUAUGGAUAGGUAUUUAUAUAUAUAAAAAAUUCUAAAAUUCUAGGUAUUUUUUUCAAUUUUUUUUAUAAAAAAAUUUUGGUUGUUAAGUCAUCAUUGUGUUAGCAGCCUUCGGGCAACAGCCCAGGCAAUUCUUGCCCGUGGGCUUGCCCCAGCUGGUGGGUCUCACCCCUUGCCAGGGCUGGACCUUGCGCACAGGAGGGGGUUUUUGGGCCUGGGGUUGGCUUUUUCCUGCCUCUGCCCCUUGCGCUGGAGCUGCCCUUAGGAGGUGAUCAAGCUUUGAGCUUGAAUUUUGGCCCAGUACUAAAGUUUUUUGGCCCCUUUUUUUUGGACCAUGGGCCAGUUGAUCCAAUAGCCCUCAAACUUUUUAGUUGAUGUUUUUUUUUUUUUUGAAAAAUUUAUUCAGUGAAUAAUUUGCCUCCUACGUCUCACAGUCUACACAAUGAUCACAUAAUGGCUUGAUGAUGUUGAUCAAAGUAUAUUGCUUUUGCUAGCUAUCACAUGGCUAGUUCAGCAUCGAAUGCAAAGAAAACCGCAUGCAUUCAUUCUUCUCUAAGCUAUAGAACUAGUACUACUGGCUUUACUGCUGUGGUAAAUGGUAAUUAAUUGAAAGAUAGCAUGUCAGCUUUCAGAAAAUAAAGGUAGCUAGGAUGAACGACUAAUCAAACUAUAUAGCUAGGUUAAGUAAAACUUGCACGUAAUGAAUAUUGAUUGAAAUGUCCACAUGCACAUCCUAAAUAACUAGAAAUUAAUGAUUCACCCUGCAACUCUCUCUCUCUCUCUCUCUCCCCUCUCCCUCUGCUCUUCUGUGUGUGUCUGGUGUGAGUUGACUGUUGGGUAUGUACAUUUGCAGAGAGAGAGAGAGAGAGAGAGAGAGAGAGAGAGAGAGAGAGAGUGCAUGAUGAUACAAAUUGCCUUAGAUUUUCAACCCUCUGUGGUGCAAAUGUUGCUAAAUUCAGAUGACAGGGGCCACAGAAUUUAAGGUUAUUUCCUUCCUUUCCCCAAAGAUACACACAGUGCAGACAGCACAUAGUUAUGACCCCCUCAACAAUGGUUCUUUUCACUCAACUGCAAUAUUCUCCAGCCAACCCCUUCUCUCUCUCUCUCUCUCUCUCUCAUGAUUACAAUGCAUUCAUUUCAAGCUAUGAUCUCAUUAUAAAUGCCUUGAUCUUAAAUCAAUUAUGUUGCACACCAUUCAUUCUAUGUAGUUUUAAUAAUUAGUGCUCUUAUAAUAUGGAGCCCUCUGAAUUUUCAUCUAGCUCCUCCCCCUUCUUUUCUGCCAAUGAUCAUGUUGAGACCCUCAAUCUUUUUCCAAAUUAUAAGACCCCAAAUGCUUAUCUUGAACCUCUACCACUGAUAAACUGCCUGCUUCGUUCACCUGAGCAUCAGGUGCCUAAUUACCAUGAUGAAAACCCUAAAGCAUGCAAUGAAGAUCAUAAAGAGGAUGAAGUCACUGUGGCCCUGCACAUUGGCCUUCCAGAAUAUUCAGAUGGCUCUAUGAACUAUUUGAAUGAGAAGGAAGAUGAAAACAAUGUGACAGCACAAAAAUAUUGGAUUCCAACUCCAGAACAAAUACUCAUUGGCUUCACCCAUUUUUCUUGCCAUGUCUGCUUCAAAACAUUUAACCGCUACAAUAAUCUGCAGGUACGUACGGUUAGUUGUCUAAAUUAUAAUCUAAGUCUCUUUCGAAUAUUUGGUACAAAAUUUCACAUAUAUAAGAUACAUACACACACAAAUGUUCAAUAUAUGAAUCCCUUUCACAAUUCGGUAAUUAAACUGAAGUCUAUUUGGUUGGCUUGGAGGGUUUUGGUUUAAUACCAUAUAUUAUUCCUUGAUUUUAAAAAGAAAACCUUUCGAGCCAACCAAACGGACUUCAGUUUAGCAUUCGAAACCCUCAAGCCAUGCUUUGGUUUGAUUAACAACGUUGGAAAAAUUUACUACCUGAACUUUAGAAGUUUCCUUUUAUAUGUUCUUAUUAAUUGAUUUCACUAUUCCUAUGCUUUUCACUGUCAUGUCAUCAUUCCCAUGGAAGAUGCACAUGUGGGGGCAUGGGUCGCAGUAUCGAAGAGGGCCAGAGUCACUGAAAGGAACACAGCCUCGAGCCAUGCUAAACAUCCCAUGCUAUUGCUGUGCAGAAGGUUGCAAAAACAACAUAGACCACCCAAGAGCAAAGCCUCUAAAGGACUUUCGGACCCUUCAAACACACUACAAGAGGAAGCAUGGCAUGAAGCCCUUCAUGUGUCGCAAGUGUGGGAAGCUGCUGGCAGUGAAAGGAGACUGGAGAACACAUGAGAAGAAUUGUGGCAAGCGCUGGCUUUGCAUUUGUGGUUCGGAUUUUAAGCACAAGAGAUCACUCAAAGACCAUAUCAAGGCUUUUGGCCAUGGCCAUAGACCUUUUCCACCUAAUUCUUUUGAUGAAGUCAGGGAUCUUGAUGAGGAUACUAGUACCACACCAUCGUUGUUUAAAGGCAUGUCAAGUGACACAACCUCUUAACGCAAAUGAAAAUUUUGUGUUCCCCUCUUGAACUUUUUAUGAUGAAGAAUCGUUGACGAAGAUUUGAAUGAAAAAUUCUAUGAGUUUGAUACACAAAUCAGUUGACUAUUUCCAUGAUAUUUUCCUUUCAGUAGAAAACUGUGGUGUCAUGUAAUUUAGAGAUCAUAUUUGUAAGGGAAAUUCUGAAAAAUAGCCAACUUCUCAGCACUGUAAAGAUUUUUAAAAUAAAAAAAGGUAAAAUUUGAACCAUUUUAACUAAAAAAAGACUUAGAAAGGCAGCAUGGGAAUUAAACUUGGCCACCAAAAGUUAGGAAACAAACAUCAACUGCGCUGCAGCCUGCACACAAUGGUUAGCGCUGCACAAUAAACUUGACUUUAUUGUGAUAAAUAGUUUGUUUCAACUUUCAAGCCCUCCUUGAUGCGAGACCCUAGGAGGUCGCCUCAUGGGACUCCCUUCAGGGCCGACCUCUUGCUAUUUCUUAGAGCAAAUAAUGUUUAUAAUAAUAAGAACUUACUAUGUAUGUGUCUAGCUCUCACGUUACACUACUAAGAAAAACAAUGGGCUUGUUUAUUGGUCUACAAAAGGGGUUUGUAUUGGCAUUUUUGGUGCCUAAUAUAUCGAAGUAGUAAUUUUUAGUAUAUUUGGUACCAAAAAAUUCAAUACAAACCCCUUUUGUGAAGAACCUAUCAUGUUGGCGAGUGUAAAAGUUUCUUUUCUACUUAAUUAGUUUAAGAUCCAUAAAUUGAUAAUAUUAGUGAGAAACACUUACUUUCAAGAGAGUUAAAAAUUUUUGAACAUUUUAGAAUUCCUUAACACUCUCAAAUUUCCUCAUCCCAUGUGCAUGACUUUAAGUGUUUUUCUAAAUUAUGAAUUAGACUUUUGAGAGGCUUAUUUGUGAAAGCCAUUUCUUUUUUCCCCAGUUACAAGUACUUGGGCUUACAAUAAGGCAUUAUUGUGCUUUCUCAGGCAUACACAGGAACUUUUGUGAAAAUGGAUGCUUUAGUGAGGGAACUUGGGUGGACGAUGAGUGGCAGCCUGGCAGGUGCUGGGCCAAAGCCAGCCAACAUCUGUUUUCUUUUUUCAAUUGUAUCCCAAGGUACAAAAGUGAAAUUUAAAGUUUGCCAAAAACUAAAGGGUCACGAAAAGUAAAAAUUCAAAGAGGGAUGAUAGAGACUCAGGUAAUGGUCAUAAUAAUGGAUAAUGCUCUAAAUUACUCGUAUCGAUAAAUGAAAAUUAUAGGGAAAAAAGGUAUCUAAAGAGUACAGCCGCACGGCUAUACUAUUAAAAAAAAUUAGAGAGAACCGAGUAUAGUCGUGCGGCUAUACCAUUGUUUAAAGAACCGAGUAUAGACGCGUUUAUUUUUUAAAAAGACCGCAGCGCUUAGUCUCUCACGUGUAAAAACAGUAUAGCCGUCGGCUAUCGCCCGGCUAUACUAGUUUAAAAAAAUUUAAAAGCUCGUAUAGCCACACGGCUAGACUAUUUUAAAAAAGCAAAAAAAAAAAAAAGAAAAAAAAAAGAGUACCUGCCUAUCCAUUAGCCUCUCACAUUCAUUCAUAGUUAGUAAAAUACAAAACGAAAAAAAAUAUGAAUAAAAUACGUAUGUGUUUUAUCCGGUAAAAUUUUGGCAAAUUACAACUUUAAAGUAUGGCCACUAUAUUAUAUUUUAAUAUAAUUCAUAUACAUUUUUAAUAUAUAUUAUUUUUAUUUAAUAAUUUGUGAGAAUUAUGUGUACAAUACGUGAUUUUUGUGUGUCUUAUUGAAAAUUUUGUAUUAAACACGUGUAUUAAACAUGAAAAAUACAUACGUAUGUGUACGAUACGUGUAUUGUAUGUUGGUUUUUUAAAUACGUAUAUUUUACCGAGUCUUUAAGACGUGUACGAAAAACAGAAGUAUUAUUGAAAAGCACAUACGUGUUUAAUACAAGUAUUAAACGGGAAAAUGCUAAAUUCUUUAAACGGUAAAAACUCACGAAAAGUAAAAACUCAAAAGGAGACAAUAGAGACUCGAGAAAUGGCAUAAUAGUAACAGAUAAUACUCUAAACUACCAUUGUAGACAGAAAUUUCGAGUACCAGAAGAACUUCUUUUGAAUUUAUUUUAAAAAUUUUAUAUAUUGGAGGAUUGGAAUGCAGGACUUCGAAUUCAAGUGUAAACACUCAACCCAUUGAGCUAACAUAAAAUCAAAAGUUGAAAUCACAUAAUUGAUGUCCCUUGCUUGAUAUAGUUUCUUGCCUUUUUGAUGGUUUGCUUGUGACAUGGAAUCAAAAUUCGAAAUCACAUCAUUGAUGUGUAUAUUGAUCAAAUGUUCCAUUUUAAAAUUACAAGAGUUCGUGAAGCAUUAUUAUUAGAUACGCCAACUUGGAAAGCAAGCACAUAAAACAAACAAAAAAGCAAAAAGGAACUUCUCAUGACCCAAGAAAUUCAAAAAAUACACAAAAGCACAUAAAAAUUCAAACAAAAAGGAACUUCUUAUCAGGAACAAGAUGAUCCAAGUAUGGACUGAAACAACUAGUUAGAUUCUAGUCAAUUCAGAUUUCUUGGAGAAAGAAGAACCCGGUUAAUCAUGUUGUCCAAAGCCAAGAAUGAUAACCCAUUUGGACCAGUAGCGGCCUCCUCUGCCAACUUCUUCCAUUCCGUGGCUUUCUUCCUCAUCUCUUUGCCCUUCUCUCCCUCCAUUAAUGUUCGCACAAGGUCCUCUAUGUAGUUUCUUUUAACAUCACCCUCUAUCUCUAUGCCUACGCCCCAUUCUUUGCAACAGAACCUGCAAUUGGUUUGUUGCUCUGCAAAGAAGGGCCAACAGAUCAUGGGCACUCCACCACACAAACUUUCAAGGGAAGAGUUCCAUCCACUGUGUGUCAAGAACCCUCCUACAGCUGGGUGGCUCAGGACUUGUUCUUGAGGGCACCAACUUGAGAAUAGACCCCUUUCUUCGGUCUCUUCCAAAAACUCCGGUGGAACCACAGCGGAUUCUCCAAGAACAAGGUCAGGCCUUAUAACCCAUAAAAAGGCCUUGUUGCUAUUUGCAAGUCCCCAAACAAACUCAAUUAGUUGCUCAGAUGUCAUGACUGUGAUGCUUCCAAAGUUGACAUAAACCACAGAAUUUGGUUCUUUUGAGUCAAGCCAUUCAAGGCACUCUGUUUCUUCUCUCCAUAGAUUUGAUUCAAUCGACUUCAAAUUGUUAUAAUCUGGUGGAAUCUGACUAACCUGUAGUUGAAGGGGUCCAAUGCAGUAAAUAGGUGGUAGCAAAGUCGAAAGUGCAUCCAGAACUUCAAGCUCUAAGGCGUCAAAUGUGUUGAAAAUGAUUGCUGAAGCUUUCUGGGCUCGUUCGUACUCACUCACAAGAUAUUUCAGCAUGAUGUCAUUUGGAUCUGUGGUUCUGACGAAGGUUGGCAAGUCCCUCAAACGAAUAUGUCUCAUGCCUGGUAUCCAAUCUAUUACAGUAUCUAAAUACCCAUUUGUCAAAUAGCUGGCAUCUGCAAAUCAAAUAGGUCUUCUGAGUCAAACAUUCUAACCAAAAAAGAAAAAAAAAAAAGUUAACAAUUUUAUUAUGUAGUGUCCCCAAAUGACCAGUGAGGAAUUUGAAGUAAAUUCCUCUUUUUUUUUUUAAUUGAUUAUUUUUGAAGAUUGAAAUAUUCUUUUAUUAGACAAAUGCGAACGUUGUUAGAUUGAAUAUAUAGUAUACAAGAGUCAACUUGAUUACUAUUCAGAUUCACAUUCUAAUAAUAUAAAUAUUGUUUGACAAGUGAACGUUCUUGUCAGUAUAAUAGUACCUUUAAGAGGAAUUAAACCCUUUUCCAUCAGAGGGAGAUACUGAAGGUAACCCAACGAGCCACAAGCACUCGUUGUUUCGAAAAGAACACAGGGAAUGCCAAAUUCUUGGGCUGCAUCAAGUGAGAAUGUCAUGCCACCAUCAGAAACUAAGCAAGUAACUGGAGGGGAAUGGGGUAAAGAGUUAAGCUUUGAUAAAAGGUCUCUGAAGGGUGCUAAGCAAUUUUUACUAGUGGAAAGGCAUAGGGAUGGUAUGUCUUGGGUGGCGUUGUCAUCAGAUGGAGGGAGGCCAUCAGGAAUGGUCUCGAAUUGAAAGGAGGGGAGGCCGUCGAGAGAGUUGGGACCUCGAGAUUUAAGGAGGCGUUUGUGGUUGAACUCUGUGUUCACAAAGGUUAUAUGAAAACCUUUGUAGUGGAGGAGCUUAGCUAAUUUCAGCAUUGGGGUUAUGUGACCUUGAGCUGGGUAGGGUAUGCAAACUGCAUGUGGCUUCUUUGUCAAGGCAACAGAACCCAUUCUCUCGUUUCUCUCAAAUCACACACAAAACCUAUGGAAAAUAGGAUAUGCUAUGGUGAAGAGCACCUGCAGUUUUAUAGCAGUGACAUACAAUGUCAAUAAUUGGUGGUCAAUCAUGGACCUGGACAUGUACAUUGUAUUCUCUGAUCAACUUUGCCACAUUUUUAAAUCAUGACCAUUCCUUUUAUUUCCAUUCCGCACCAAUCAUGUCUAAUUAACGACAAAUCGUUAUGUUCUUCAAUCUAGAAUGCGAGAAACGUGUGAAACAGAACAUGUAUAAUCACUAUAUUCCUCAGGCAGAUGUGAGCCAUACCCAAGUUUGGCCAAGCCCAAAAGCAAGACUUGUUUGGGCAAGCUAACCUCACGUUGACGUCAAUAGCCAAUUUAAAUAUUAAAAAAACGAGAAAAAAAAAUGAAAAAAUUCAGAAUUUUUUAUAUAUAAAUACCUAGUCAUAUUCUUCACUUCUCACACCAAAACUCCAUAUAAAUUUAUCUCCUCAUAUUUCAUGUGAAUAGUUGUUGCUCUUGAGUUGCCAUAACAAUGGGUGGGAAUGCAUAAAAAAGAUUUGCUAAGGCAGUCACUAUUCAUAUGAACAGUAAUAGUCCUUGUCUUUUGCCAUGGCAAAUGGGUGAUAGUACUCUAAGAAGAGGGACAUUGCACCCAACGAAAACUAGGUCAAAGCAUAAUAAACAUGAAUGGGCGAAAUAAUCUACGCGAAACCUAGCAAAUAAUAUGAGGCAUAGUUGUAAAAACUAAGGAUAAUAUAGUAAAUUAACAAUUUUUCAUAUUAAAAUUUUUUUUAAAUCAAAAUCAAAGUAAAAACAUGGUCCUAUUUUCACGAGACACAAAAAUCAAACUCAUUUUCUCUUUCGUAAUUUUAAAGUUAAAAAAAAAAAAAAAACAACUAGUGUAUCGGCUAAGUAAGAUAUGAGGAACAAUACGGCUUUUUAUAAAUUCAGCCAGAUAACUCAUGGUGUGGUUACUAAUCAGGAAUUGGAAUUCUCAUCAGGAAUUGAAUUCCACUUAUAGAGGAAUCCUGUGUUUAUUUCGUAUCAAGGAAUUGAAAAGUGAGUGGGGUCCGCACGAAAUUAGGAUUUGAAUUCCUAAUUUUGGAGGAAUUCAAUUCUUGGAUGGGAGGUGAUAUUCUAAUUCUUGGAGAAUUAACCCAUUAGGAAUUUAUCUUUUUUACCCAUUAUAUCCUCACACAAUUUUCAAAUUUUCAAAUUUGCCAUCUACUUAAACCCAACAACUAGGACGAUUUAGUAAUUAGUACCACUCAUACCCCAAUUCUAUAUGGUUUAGUAAACAACUUCAAUGAAAAUCUGAAAUCUAAUUCUCCUUAAUCCAACUCUUCCUCAAUUCAAUUUCUUUUAAUCCAAUUACGAAUAAACAUGCCAUCAGUUGCUUGUUCGGCCUGGUGUCUGAUAUUCAUUAUAAGUUGGGCUGAGCCCUUUUGGGCUUGCCUUGUUUUGGAACUUCUUUUUUUAUUUUUCUUUUUUGUGCUUAAUAUAUUUUUGUUGUACAGAAAAAAAAAAAGAAAAAAAAAGAAAAAGAAAGUGAUAACAGCACCGAUCGAGCUUUCAUGAAAGCACAUGUAUUCAUAGUACAAUUAUAGAGAGAGCACGUCAUCUUAGCCAACUUGCAUAUUAAUCCAAAAACCUGCCAAGGAACAUGGUAUGCAAGCAGUAUCACCACUGGCACCACAGAUAUCUGAUUUCUAAUGUCAUGCUAUGUUUCAUACGGCAGAUGGAUAGGGCUUUAAAGCACAAAUCAGAUCUUCCAAAUCUCGGCAAAAAUUUACCUAUUUCAUUGCAUCAGCUCCCAAGAAAAUGCCAGUCCUUGAGCCAUAUUAGACAUCCAUUUCUUUUUGUCGUGCUAAAUAUUGAAAAGCCAACAUGGAGUGGACCACCUAAGAGCAAACAAAUCCUUUAAGAGUCGGUCCAUUUGGAUGGAGUGAUUUCAAAUUCCGGGAGUUUGAAGAAAUUAUAAGGUUAAAUUUUUUUAUUUAGAUUAUUACGAUAUAUGUAUACUAAGAUUUGAAUAAGAAUGAAAUGACGAAAACAAAUGAAUUAUUGCACAUAGUCAUUUGAAACUCAUUCCGAAUAUACUAUAUUUACGGCUAGUUAUCUCAAACACAUUCGAUCUAAUCUUUUCUUUCUGCGACUUCCAUCCAAACGGAGCCAGAUUUCGGGCCUUUCAAACGCACUACAACAGGAAGCAUGACAUUGACAUGGAAGCCCAUUACGUGCAGCAAGUAUGGCAAGUAGUUGGCAGUGAAAGAUGACCGGAAACGCAUGAGAAGGAGCAAGCGUUGGAUUUGCAUUUGUUUUUGUGGUUCAGAUUUCAAGCACAUCACUACAAAAAGUAAGUGGAAGAUGUUGACAUAUAUGGAGAAAUCUCCAAUGCUGUCUAUAAUUAUUGUUAGGUUUGAAUAAUUCUCAUGGUAACAAAAAAUGUGAAGACACGGAUGCCAGAGAACGAAAGACAAGGGCUGCAUGGAAAUUAUUAUUAUAUUUUGGUCGAAAGAUGGAAAUUAUUAGAAAAAGUACAAAUAAGUGCCCGUCACACUCCAGACAAGUGGGCAUUUGCGUGAGAUUCCACUCCUACAUGCCCUUUGGAGGAGGGAAAGGUUAAAAUUUGUUUGAGUUGUUCUUCUUUAUUUUUCCAUUUAUCAACAUGACUUUCUACUUAUAAUUGUAUUUUGAAGUGAGAAUUAGUGCUUAAAACAUGGAAUUAAUUAGUGGAUACAAGUGAGGUCCGAAAGAGAAAAGUGAACUCAGUUUGUAUUUUAGUAAAUAUAUGGAAGAAAACUCCAUUUAGAUCCAAAACUUGAAUUGGAAAAUUUUAAUUUUAUUUCCUGAUACCAUUUUCGGUAAAAUUCUACGCGUCUCAAUUAUACAACCAGCCAAAUUAAGCUAAUACAAACGGUUUGAUUGAGUUUUUACACUAAAAAAGUUAAUCUUAAACGAAACUGAACCAAAUAGCAAUUAUUCAUGAAAGCUACAUAAACCGAAUCAAACUACCUAUAUUAAUCUUUGUUUUUUUUAACACCUAACAUUUUCUGUAUUGGUUAUUAUCACCAUCUCAUGUGUUUGUUUCAUUCCAUAAUGCACCUCCUUUUUAUUAUUAAACUUCUCCAUCUUCAAUGGAACUAAAAUGUUUGCUUAAUUAUUGUUUAUGCCACUAGUUUAAGAUCUAAAGCAAACAUGAUAUUAUAUUACAGUUCGGAUAAUGAUCAAAACCGAAGGUGAUAAUGUAUUAAAUUGGCGUGAUGUUCUAGGUGUAAACUAAAGUGAACUAAACAAGGCGGAUCCCUUCAAAGCGCCGCUGAUUGCAUUGCAUGCAUAAGAUUGUGAUGCAACACUGGAGUCUGGAGAGCCAUGAAGCCAAUGCACAUUAACACUGGAGUCUGGAGAGCCAUGAAUUCAAUGCAAUGUGCAUUGGCUGUUGGACUAAUUCGUAAUAAACAUUAGAUAUUAAUUGAUGAUCUGACGAAGCCGUUCAUAAGCAAUGAAUAUGUAUAUUUGUGCGUUAUAGAGUGAUACGGUAUCAUCACGUCAACUAGUGAUAUUCUCAUUUAAAAUUUGAUAUGUAUCAAUUUUAAAAGAAAAUUAAAAAACAAUUACACAUGAACUUUGUCUUUCAAGUUCACCCUUCAACAUUAAUUAGACCUAAUCCCUCUCCCACCAUCUCUUCUCUCUUUUCCCUCGCCACCCACCCCAGCCUUUCUCUCCCUUCUCCUCCAACAUCACCAACCCCUCUUUACCUCCCUCUCAUUAACGCAUUAAGAAAAAACCAAAAAUCUUGUCUUGAAUAUAUAUGUGCAAAUCAGAAAUAUUCAAAAGCAUCUUCUAUGAUGAUAAGUUGACAACCCACAAAUGAAAGAAAUGUAAUGAUGGAUGUUUUGGGCAACCAAGUAACCUGGUAGACAGAUUGCCGAUGGGAUCUUGGUGGGACACUGCUACAAUCUUGUUUUCUUUUUCAUGUUUUUCAAAAAAAGUUAAAUAAAAUUUAUUCAGAGUAAAGUUAGAAGACAAAGUACAACUAUGAAAAAAAUAUAAUUAUUUUUUUAAAAUUGACACGUGUUAGAUUUUGAGUGGGAGUAUCACCCGUUGACGUGGUGAUACCAUCUUAUUCUAUAAUUUCUCCUGUGCAUAAAGCCAUAUUAUAUUAUUAGACAACUAUAUAUAUAUAUAUUUUUUUUUUCUGCAAUGAAUUUAAGCUCAAUCUCAGUAGAAACUAUUAUAUUUCGUUUGGUGGUUCGGAUUAAAUUAGAUUAGAAUUGAAUUUAAGCUAGUUCUUAUUAGUCUUAUUCAUUUUUAUAAGAUACAAUAUGUAGAAUGGUUGUCCAUUUUAAUAAGAUCAUUUCCGGAGCACCGAAACAAUUAAGACUAUAACCAUUUAAUUGAUAUAGUCCAGUACAAUCCCACCCAGGGGCAGUUCUACACCUAGGGCAAGGUAGGUUGCUGCCUAUCCCAAAUUUUUCAAAAAGGAAAAAAUACCCAUAUGUAAUAGGCCAACCCAUGUGAAACAUACAAACCUAUGCCCACCCAAAAAGCAACCCACAUGUAUGCAUAAUCUAAAAUUUCUCUCCUCCUUAAUUAUCUUCUCUUUAAUUUCCUACCUCCAAAUUUUAAGAUGUUGUAUAUGACAACAUUGAAUAUAACAUAUUUUAAAUAGGUUAGAAGUUAUGUGUUCUAAUCAAUUUUAGGGUUUACUUAAGAAUGAAUUAUAAUUUGUUGACUUUGUUGAAAUUAAUUAGGUCUUUGGAAUUUUGUUGAGAUGUUUGAUUUGAUAUUGGUAUUGUUGAGAAGUUUGAUUUGUUGUUGGUAUGUUAAUGUUUGAUUAAAGUCAUUGAUGCUAUUAUGACAAUUUAUUUGAUUUUUUGUUGGGAUGUUGGAUUAAAUAGGUUAUCUUUUGGGAUGCCUAUGCCUAUGCAAUCUUAGUUGGGAUGCCUAUGCUAGAGUUUCUUCGAUCUUGCCUGAUCGUUAGUGGAGACAUACAUGAUUUUCUUAAUUUUAAUAUUAGACCACUCUGUUAUUGUAAUGAUCCUUUUGUGGCUAGUUUGUAUUGACCUUUUAUGGCUAGUGGCUUUUUUGGCUGAAUUAUGAAUGCAAUCAUAGAAUUUCUCAAAAAAAAAAAAAAAAAAGGUUAUCUUUUGUUAUAUCGGAUCACAAUCUGAACCCCAAGAAAACAAAGAAUUUUUUGGAUUUUUUUUUAUAAGAAAAAGAAUAGGUUUUUUUUUUUGGCUAAACUUUUAUUUAUAUAUAGAGAUGUAUUUGAGGGUAAGACUUAUUACGUCCCCCUACUAAAGUGUAUAUUUUUAUGUUUUUUUUUUUUUAAUGAGAUUCACUCAUAACAUUGAGUUUUUAAUGUAGACUUCGCCCAACUGAAUUUCGAAUCUUGAAUCCACCAUUAAUCUCACCCACUAUACACACAUGAAACUGCAAAUUAAGAACAGAAAUAGUACCCUUUAUUUAGAUUAAUAGGCAGUUGAAUUUCUCAAAAGCCUCGGCAAACGGUACAUAUUUUAUUUUUUUUAUCAGGAACUGGAUGAUCCAAAUACAGAUUAAAACACCAGAAAGAAAAAAAAGAACAAGAUGGAAUUGAAUCAAUUCUAAUCUCUUGGGGAAAGAAGCACUUUGCUAACCACAUUUUCCAGAGCCAAGUAAGACGACCCUUUUGGGGCAGUGGCGUCCUCUGCCAACUUCUUCCAUUCAAGGGCUUUCUUCCUCAUCUUUUUGCCCUCUUCUCCAUCCAUCAAUGUCCUCACAAGACCGUCAAUGUAAUCUCUUUUAACUUCCCCGUCUAUCUCAAUGCCUAUGCCCCACUGUGUGCAGCUGUACCUAACAUUUGUUUGCUGCUCUGCAAAGAAAGGCCAGCAGAUGAGAGGCACUCCGCCACACAAGGCCUCGAGGGUAGAGUUCCAGCCACUGUGAGUCAAGAACCCUCCAAUGGCUGAGUGGAGCAGAACCUGUUCUUGAGGGCACCAACUUGCCAACAUACCCCUCUCUUUGGUCUCCUCCAAAAACUCAGGCGGCACCACAGCGGUUUCUCCAGCAACAAGGCCAGGCCUGAUGAUCCACAAAAAUGGCUUCUUGCUAUUUGCAAGUCCCCAAGAAAACUCAACCAGCUGCUCAUUUGUCAUGACUGUGGUGCUUCCAAAGUUGACAUAAACCACAGAGUUGGGCUCUUUGGUGUCCAGCCAGUUAAGGCACUCUGUAUUCUCUGCCCACAGGUUCGAUCCGAUCGCCUUCAAAUCAUUGUAUUCUGAUGGAAUCUCGCUGUAUGGUAGCUGAAGGGGUCCAAUGGAGUAAAUAGGAGGUAGCAAAGUGGAAAGGGCAUCCACAACUUCUUGCUCCAAGGCAUCAAAUGUGUUCAAAAUAAUAG